rnacentral:lncRNA from 1 species
CCUGUGAUUAGUGAUUCAGGAUAUGUUGCUGCAUAGCGCUUGUUAUGUUUCUUGCUUUCUUUUGUUUUACCAUAAAACUUGUCGAGAAGUUUUGUACUAAUUCUGGUUGAUUGGUUACAGCACAUAAUUUGUUAUGAAUUCCUAUAAUAGAUUCUAUUGACAAAAGAAGGGUUGUCAUUUGUGAUUAAAUGAAACUUUACGGGAAAUGUAACUCUUAAUGAAAAUACAUGCAUGGCUGUAAAGCUUAAUAUUAAGUUUCAAUGCACGUGUAUUCCUUUUAUGUUUAGUUACUAAUACAAGAUGGGUAGAAUUACUCCCGGUGCUAUCAAUGUACAAUCUAAUUCAAAUGAUUCUGCACGAUAUAGAAAAAUAACUUUACAUUACAAAAUCUGUGAAAAGUGCAGGAGUUAUGUUGACACCAUAAGAUAGUGUAUAUAUCUAUCACAGAAAAUUUGAGAAGGGAAAGGAAGAUCGUAGAUUAUUUCACACGUUUGCUAUAGAGUUAAUACCAUCUAUGCUGUUCAAAAAAUGCUGGCACCCUUUUUCUACUUUCAUAAAUGAUGUCUUUUUUACUACUGUUUUUGAGCUACAAAGCAAGCAUUUAACUUGUGUGGAACUGUCCAUGUGAUGCCAUAUGUACUGGUAGGUGUGGUCGUAAUUUUUGCUAUUUAGACAGCAGUGAACUAGUUCUGUUGACAGAACAAUUAUUCACACUAAAUAGGUGCAAGCCCUUGGUAGAGAUGUGCCGCAGUUUUGGGUAUUGCUUCAAAGUAGAUUAUAAGCAAGAGUCGUUAUGUCUAUUUUUCUUGGAUGUAUAAUGUCAUGUGCUGCAGCCUAUUUAUUUCUUUGUAAUUUGGGAUACUUAUCAGGUUGAAGUCCCCAAAAACCGUGGGAAUAAGAAAAUGCAACGUUAUUAUUUCAGAUCAACAUCCACAAUGAUUGUCCGAAUAUGGUCUUCCUGGCUUGUGCACCAAACACCUGAGCCAUUUGAUUUUGCUCCCACUGGUGUCGAUAAGCUCCACCUUGACUUACCAGAUGAACGAUUUAUGGAAUUUGUUCCAAACUUUGAUGUAAUUGUUCUUUCUUCUGGGCAUUGGUUUGCCAAGAAGUCUGUCUAUAUCUUGAACAACGAGAUUGUUGGUGGACAAUUGUGGUGGCCAGACAAGUCUAGACAAAUGAAGGUCAACAAUGUUGAUGCUUUUGGAAUCUCUGUUGAGACUAUCCUAACUGCAAUGCUUAAGCAUCCAAAUUAUACUGGUUUAACAAUCUUGCGUUCCUUUUCACCUGAUCAUUAUGAAGGUGGAGCCUGGAAUACUGGAGGCUCAUGCACAGGGAAGGAAAAACCAGCUGUGGACAAAGAUUUAGUAGAAAAUGGCUUUACCAAUAUAAUGCAUGAGAAACAGGUGGCAGGAUUUAACAAGGCAAUCAAAAAGCAGACAAACAAAUCAAAAGCAAUAUUGAUGGACAUUACGAAAGCCUUUAGCUACCGUCAUGAUGGGCAUCCAGGUCCUUAUCGGAGCCCUGACCCAAAUAAAAUCACAAAACGAGGACCAGAUGGCAGGCCUCCACCACAGGAUUGCUUGCAUUGGUGCAUGCCUGGCCCAGUUGACACAUGGAAUGAACUGGUAUUUGAAAUCAUAAGAAGAGAAUUUGUGGCCAAAAAAAGUAAUCCUUCAUGAUAAAUUUCUCAUAUUUCUUUUAGGAGCAUGCCAUUGCUUGCUAACAGAGAUUGUACUUUCUUAUGAAAAAAUUUGUAGGUCAUGUUGGGUAUCAGAGCUUUGUAGGCUUCAUUCCAGAUUUUGAUUUUUCAUUGAUCUUAUUGUAAUAGGCACUAGUUAGAAGAUUAUGAACUGUCUUUUUGUUAUAGGAAAAUGCUGCUGUCAUAGACACCUAUUUUCAUAAAUUAUUACUUUUCUGUAAGUGCAACUAUGAUUAAUACGUCUUAAAAGCAUCUUCUUUAUAAAGUUUACUGACUUUGCCAUCUGAAAGGAACUUGUGAGUAAAAUACUUCAUUUACAAAGGAUUCCUUUUUUGUUAUUGCUGUUCCCUUUUUCCUUUUUUCUUUUUUUUUAAAUAAUUAGUCAUGUAUUUCUUUGGGGCAAGGGGUUGGCUGUUGGCCUGAAGGAGGGGCUUCUCAGUGCCCAUAGAGUUUCCAUGGCUCAUAAUUGAGAAAUUACAUCUUUUCAAGUUAUGAAGUGGUAAAUGUUAUAAGCACUCAAGUAUUGUGUAAAUCAGUUGAUUCUUUAAUUGCUUCGCAUCCUAAAAACAAAAAGAAUAAUGUUUGACUUUCUAUAUUUAUCCAUCUUUAAAUAUGGAUAUGUAGAGAUGUUCGUAAUUGCACAACUAUGAUUGCAAUCCAUUUUAGAUAGAUAGAAGUACAGCAUCCAAAUACCAGGUAAGUUGUCUCGUGCAUAAGUUCUCUGUGCUUUCCUUGCUGUGCUAACACAUCCAUGCAGGUAAUUUGUGUGUAAAGUACUUGUAUAUUCUUACAAUGAUGAUUCAAAAGCUCAUGUAUUAGUUCUUCCCUGGGCUUUGUUCUCAGUGGAUGAGAUCUGCUGAAUGAAGAUGAGACUGCAACGUGGCAGCACCAUUGCCUUUAAGAGCAGGCUAGGUAGAAUUGAUGCAAUUUUUUGGUAGCUAAUUCAUUACAUCUAUGCAUUUUUUGGAUGUUUUCUCAACUAGAGAUGAGAUGCUUAUUGCAAUUAUGCUGAUGAUUGAGGUUCUACUCUGACUGUGCUUUUCAUUUUUGCAUUGUUUGUUUGUUAUGUAUACCUGAUUUAGUUAAUUGUUUAUUAGGUGAAGUUUGUUUAUUAAAUUACAAGUCUAGAAUUUGUUGAUUUCUUUCUUUUCCACAUCUAAGCAAGCAAAAUCAUUUCCACCACCUAUGUUUUGUGAUUCUGUAAUAUCAAACUAAAUGGAGGAAAUGGGAGUUAACUAAAAAGCUUUACAUGCUCAUCUGAAUGGUAAGUUUCUUGAUUUCCUUUGUUCUAUAUUGAUCUCUGGUGUGUAAUUCUUAUUGCCUUAAACUUACUAACUUCUUUUGUACCCCUUUAGAUAUGAGAAUCUUUCUUUUAAUACUCGAUUAUGGUCAACUGUUGGUAGGUAUUUCUCCUAUUAUAGUUAAUUUUUUUCCCAAUCUCUGUUUCAUCAGCCAGGUUGAGAAGCAGUUGGAAAGUUGCUUUCUUUUCUAUUUUUUUAUGGUAGUUAAGCAAAUAUGUAUAUUAUUUCAGUAAAUAAUUUUUUUUUAUGUGUAUGUAUGGAAUCACAAUUUAUUCUUUUGACCGCUGGAAUCAACUCAAUUGGGUAAAAUCCAUGCAACCUCCAUUUGGUUAUUACAAAACCAUUGCUUUCCUUGACUCAAUGCUUAACACAUGAAAAAGUACAUUUUCAUUAUGUCUCAGCUUACACUUUUAGGGUUAAGAUGCUUGUGAAAAGCUUCUAGGAUACUAUUGUCCAAAUUAGUGCUCAAAUGUUGGCUUACAGUUCAUUUAAUUCUAAUUCAUCUGGCUGGGUGUUAGGCAGUGUGAGAUGAGCUAAAGUUAUUCGCUGCAGGGGGUUAAGGAAGACUCAAGUGUCACGUAAUGCCUUGCUGCUAUGAGUAAUAACACUUCAUUGCUUCAGCUGUUUAUCAGUGUCAGAUGAACGGAUAUUUUUUACCUCUGGGGUUUAAGGAACAUACACAGUAUAAUGCAUUCAAACAACUAAAAUGCAGCAGUAAUUCACCCUGUACCAUGAGAACUAUGACGGCCCCACCUCCCCCUUAGGCGAACCAAAGGGUUCGGCAGACCGCCUGCCAGGCUCUCGGCGGGACUCACUCACUACAAAUCUCAAUUCAAUUACAAUAUAAAUUUUAAAUAUACAUCAAAUUCUCCAAUAAUUAUAUGUCAUAAGCGAAGCGUCCACGCUUCCGCUAUGCCACUCUGAUCCUUGAUACCAGCUAUUAUACAGGAGAAAUUUCAAAUCUAAACUGUACAAAAUAUAGGCCAUCCAGUCACGUGAAUAAGUAUUACAAGUCCUUCCUUCGCCACGAGCCCUGUGGAGGGGAAUAAAAUAGUUUUGAGGUGAGGUAAAAGCUCAGUGAGUAACCAGCAAAAUCAGUAAACAAAUAUAUUUCAAGAUAAUGCACUUCAAUGAUGUCAUGAAUCAAGGAUCAAAUGUACGUUUAUCGCUCUCGUGAGCCAGUGAAAUCAUUGCACUUAAACACCCACCGCUCAAAAAGAUUAUUUAACGAUAAACAAUAAGGGGGAUGUCGCGCCCCACUUUUUGAAAUGUGUUGUGUGAAUGUGAGUGAUGCGUGUGCAAAAUGAAAAGUAAAAAGGCCAUGGGACUUUGGAAAGCGACGAUUUGGCCAAAUGAAAUUUUAAAAAGGGUUUUUUAAAUAUGAAAAUGGAGUCGCCACUUGGUAUAGAUUUGGGGUGUACCAAGUCACCCAAAAAGUAUUUUUAAAGACAAAGUAGUGAAAACCCUUUUUAAAACGACUCCUAGUCCACGUAAACCAAAGAAAAAGGUUCGGGGGUCACGUUUGACAAAGGGGAAGGCAAGGAUAGAAUCCAAGGCACCCCUUUGACCUAGCCAAGGCUAGUUGCGCGACUCAAACCAAUUUUUCCUAAUUUUUCUACCCAAGGUAUGUAUCGCGUAUUGGAUAUGUCUAUAUGAAUGCGAAAACCUAGACCUAGGGGGACAUGGGGGAAAUUUCUCUUCAAAGGUUGAGUGGUGCCAAUCACAUUAAUUGUGAAGCACAAUAAUGAUCCUUUUGGAGAGGUCACACCUAAACCUAAAUGACGUAAAAAAUGAGUGGAAUGCAUGCCAUGUGAAAGUGUGAGUUUGUGUGAAGUGGGAAGAUUGAUAAAAUACGAUACAAGUGGAGGUGUGCAAAUGUCUUUGAAUGCAAAUAUAUAUACUCCAAGUGCAAGUGGGCAAAAAAUGCAUGUAUGCAAUUUAAAGAAAAGUGCGAAAGUGUCGGUGUGCAAAUGAAGAUGAAAGUACUCGUGUGCGAGUGAAGAUAAGAGUGUUCGUGUGCAAAUAAAAGUGAUAAAAGGGUGCAUGUGUGCAAAUGAGACAAAAGUGAAAGUGUAAUGAUAGAGUGGAUUGAGAAUGCAUGAGCUUAGGGAAUUUAUGCAUAUUGGGUACGGGGAGGCCUAAAUCGUGACUCAAUUUGCCCUUUGAUAGAGGGAAUACAAGCGUGCUAAGGCUUAGAAAAAGCCACACUCGUCUAUAUCCCAUAUUUAAGGGGACUCUUCAGGCAAAUGUACCCUAACUAGCAUGAGAUGCAAAGAAUCCUAAAAUGAGGGAAAAGGGGCUCGAGGAGCAUGCCAAAUGAUAAAAUUAAGAAAAAUGCAUGACAUGUAGUGAACAUGCAAAUAUGCACUAACAAAAAGGGAUGGCCUAAUGAGCCACAACUAGCAUUGGACUAGUGUGGUGACGUACAUUCAUCCAUUCCAUUCAUUCAUGGUUAUGAAAGCAAGUAGACAUGCCAAAACGCUCGUAAACACGUAGCACGUAGCACUUAGCAUGCUCGACUAGAUGCAAGAGCCUACUAAAGCAAUUAAACAUGUAGCAACAAAAACAAGCAACCAAGGGGAAGGGGAAAUGGACCAGAUGCUCUACGAGCCCUAGCUAUUACAAGCCAAGAGGUGUACACAUACCCCAUGAAAACAUAAAGGGAAAGGGUGAAUGGACCAGAUGCUCUCCGAGCCCUAUCUAUUACAAGCCAAGAGGUGUACACAUACCCCAUGGAAGCAUAAAGGGGAAGGGGAAAUGGACCAGAUGCUCUCCGAGCCCUAUCUAUUACAAGCCAAGAGGUGUACACAUACCCCAUAAAACUUAAAUAAAAGUAAAAACAAGCAAAUGCAGGCAAGGAGGUAAGGAAAGCGGAGUAGGCAUGCAUAUUCACAUAACACGUAGGAGCACGUAAGGCUAAAUGUAGUGCAAAUGAGGGAUAGAGUGUACCUCCCUUGAAUUGACGCCCCAAUGAAGUGGAAUUAUUCAAUUACCCUCCAAAAUAAAAGAAAUGGUCAAGGUACCAAUUUAUUUGGGAAAAUUAAAGGAAAUAGGCAAUCACAAGCUCACUUGAUCGUAAAGUCCCUAAAGUCAUGACUUAAGCGCAAUUGAAACAAAGCAUGGUAAUUAAUUGAAGCAAACAAGCAAUGAGAUUGCACAAAUUAAAACUGCCAAGGACCAAAAUGAAGAGAUUAUUCAAUUGGUUGGGUCAUGGUGAAACUAAAGGGAACUUGGGGGGUUAAGGUGCAAUUUUUGAAAACAUUUUCCAUGCAAGUUCAUGCAACUGACGCAACUUGUUCUUUUCUGCAAAUUUUCCAGCCAACAUUUUCUGCAAUCUUUUCCAUUUAGCCUUACCAAACUUGAGUGCAACUUAACUCAAAACAAUCCAAUGGAUUCCACAACUCAACUUGAGUGCAAUAGAGUACCAUGAUCAUUUGCUAAGCCUCGAUCAAAUUUCCAAGAAGACAAACUCAAAAACAAGAUAAAGAAAACUGAAAACUUCCUACACGCAUGCUUUGUAGAAAGAAAAUAGCAGCUAUAAUCUCUCGCAGCCCAAAAUCUUUCAACAAUCUAUUCAACAAUCUCCAGGACUACACCAAAACACAAGGAAGGUAACUACUGGAGCAAAUGAACAAACAAGAGAAAGAUAAGCCACAAAUAUUGAAAACAUUUCUGCAUUCUUCAGUUGCAGCUUCAUGUAAAAACUCGGCAAAUAAUACUCAUAUACAGCUUUGGAACUACUGUAAUCAAAAGCAACGGGUAACAUGUCUUAAUCAAUGCAACUGGCGGGAGAAAACACAUAUAAGCUCCAUGCAAAUUUCGAACAGCUUUUGCAAUAAAACUUUCAACAAAAUCUGAAGCUUUCAACAAAGUCCUGCUGUAUAUUUACGGCACUAAAAUACACGGAUGAAUAACUCUAACAUGCACAAACCAUUGUUUAUUACCCCAAACACAGACAUUGCCAAACAUCAUUUUUGACAUUACUAAAACAUGGCAGCCUAUCUUUAGCCAACCCAACCGAGAACAAUAAAGAAAAUGCAGCAAAAGAAACUCAGUCGUGAAUCAUGCAUUGCCCAGAAUUCUCCAACCAGAUUGUGCACCAAGACAACCAAAAGAACAGUCAUGAACUCUAAUGAAACAUGUAAAUCCGUCAAUUAACUUCUCAUGGACUUUAUUUUCACAAUCCCAAAGCCAAACUUUAAACACAGAAAGGGCCAUAGUCAAGAAAACAUCUAAAAAUGAGCAUGAAGAAAACCCAUUAGCAAAAACUCAAGAUUCAUGUCUAACAAAUCGGAAUCUUCAUGAAAUGCGUAUAAAAAUAACAAAACGGGAAGCAAGGGUUACCUCCGUAUGUUCAUGGGGCCAAAGCAACGCGAGCAAUCUGAAGACAUGCGUUCGAACGAAAGGUUUGAAGCUGCAAAUGGCUGAGAUUUGCCUUUUCGGCGAAAAUUCUGCACUUUUCUUUCAGUCUUCCUCUUUUGCUUCUUGCACUGCCCGAAAUUCCUUCUCCAAGUUCCAGAUUUCAGCCGCAGCUCCCUUCUCGGUUUUCCUCAACUUUUUCCAGCUCUCUUCCUGGAUGUCGCUGUCAUGGUCGUGGUCUUCAUCAGGUUUGGUGAGGGCAGGAGCCGUGGUGUUGAGGACAUCGUCUUCAGCUUCAGCUUCGGCUUCUGCUAACCGCUGCAGUAAUUGACUCAGAGCGAGAAACAGCAGCUUGGGUGGUUGCGCCAGUUGGUGGCUUCUUCUGAGCAGUCGCUGCAGCUGUUGCGGCGGAGGAAGAGGUCGAUGACGAUGACGAUGACGAGGAGGCGAGAUUCGAGUUCAGACGGCUGUUUCCCUUUUCUGUUCGGGUGUUGCCUUCCCAAAACCCUUCUAAAACCUCUCUGUUUCCACUCUUCAGACCCUAGCCCAGAUUUCUCUCCCUUCUGAUUUCUAGCCGGCCGUCACUCUAUCCCCCUCUGUUUUUUUUCUCUUGCUUCACUUUCUAUCUUAAACCCUCGCUGUUACCUUCACCCUCAGUUUUUCUCCUUGCCCGUCAACUCUUUCUGUUUUGUUUUGCCUGAAACCCUUCAAUCUUUCUCCCUCUUUGCGGCUGUUUCCUCCCUGGUUUCUAUCCAAUGCUACGUCACUCUCUUUCUGUUUUGUUUUGCCUGAAACCCUUCCCCCAAAACUCCUCCUUUGUUUUUUCUUUUUGCUCUUCUUUUGCUCGAUGCCCUCUCUCCCGUUGCGGCUGCUGCUGCAUCUUCUAUUUAUAUGGGGCCACCCCAACCCUAAAACUCCCAUUGUCUCCUCUAAAAUUGCAGCCAAGGGCUGCCCGAGCCCUUACUUGCAAGCUGCGUUUGUAAAAACGCAGCUUGCCAUCGCGUAUUCCCUUUUUUUUUUUUUUUUUUUUUAAAGUAAUUAAAAUUGAUAAUAGUAAAAAUAAAUAACAAAAACAAUUUAAUUAACAUUGGAUGAAAAAUAAACUAGAAACAACAAAGUGCAAAUUCCAAUUCAUCAUCUUUUCAUUUUCCAUUUUUCCUUUUUUUCUUUAAAUAAUGAAACUAAAUCCUAAACAACUAAAACAUAUUUUUUUUGAACACUUUUCUUUUUCCUUUGAGAAAUUCUAGCUAAAAAUGGAUAAAAAUGACUAAAACUAAAAGUAAAUAAACUAAAUGUGACAAUUAAAAAUAGAACAAAUAAAAACGAAUAGUAAAUAAAUAAAUAAAUAAUAAAACACCAAAAAUUUGGUGUCUACAGUUUGCCCCUCUUUGUCUGAGUUUUGAAAAAACUUGAGACAAAGAAGUAGACACCAAAUACUUACCUGUGUUAUUUGGUUGCCCCUUUUCGGAGGACUGACCUAACAAGGAAUUUCAGACAUGGGACUGGCCCGAACAGAAUUGUAAACGGGAUAGACCCGGACAGAAAUUUAAAUGGGAUAGACCCACGGGAUAGACCCGGACAGAAAUUUAAAAUUGGGAUAGACCCACGGGAUAGACCCGGACAGAAAUGUAAAAUUGGGAUAGACCCACGGGAUAGACCCGGACAGAAAUUUAAAAUUGGAUUGUAUGAAGAAAACUGCAUAAGACUUUAUUUGAAAAUGUAUCCACAGAUUUGCCCCAGUAAUGAAUUGGUCAGUGGGAUUAAACCCGAACCUGCCAUGAUGAUCGACCAGUGGGAUAAUACCUGAUCCUGCCGAGGUUGGCGGGAUGAAACCCGGUCCCAACGAAAAAAGCGGUCAGCGGGAUUAUACCCGGUCCUGCCGAGAUUGGCGGUCAGCGGGAUAAAACCCGGUCCUGCCGAGGUAAGCGGUCAGCGGGAUAAAACCCGGUCCUGCCGAGGUAAGCGGUCAGCGGGAUAAAACCCGGUCCUGCCGAGAUAAGCGGUCAGCGGGAUAAAACCCGGUCCCAACGUGCUUUUGCGAAUGGUCAGUGGGAUAAAACCCAAUCCUGCCAUCCAAUUGGUCAAGAAAUUGAAUUGGAUUUGCCAAGAAACAAGCAAUUAAAUUUGAUUUUCCAAGAAACAAGAAUUUGAACUUGAUUUUUGACUUUUGACGUUUUGAAUUUUUCUGAUUUUUCGAGAGAAUCAUUUUUCAAAAAUAAUUUGCCCCAGUGUAGGGCCCUUUUCCCUUCUUUUCUCUUUCUUCGGCAUCGGCUUUCCACAUCACCAGAUGUUCUUUCGUUGAUUUCAACAAUGAAUACCUGCACAGGGGGCUUACCAAAAUAUGACAUGCAUUCACAUUUUCAUGAAAAGAGCAGCGUGAUUGAUUUGAAAGAUGCAUUAUUUGAUUCUUGGGCGAAAUCCUCAAUUGGACUAACAAAAAUAUUUGCCCCUGUGUGGGCUUGUUUUCACGAAAUCUCAUAACAAAAGUUUUGCCCCAGUAUGGGCCAUUUAAUUGCAAAAACUUGUCUGGAUGACUUUCCAUUUAUUUGAACAUUGUAAGAAACUAUGUUUCCUAAAAGAAAAUUUCAUGAUGAUUUUCUUGAAAUAAAAUCAGAUCACAGAAGAUUUCUUCCUCACCUUGGCAUUGGUGUUUUGGGUAAUGGGUCACAAUUUCCAGUUGGUUCAUCUUUCAGAACCGAUCAAGUGGGUGUUAUUUCUGAUUUGGAAAUGGGAGGUCAAGAUUUGUCUUAUCCAUGUGUACAGAUGGUAUGUAAUCCCUUCAAUACCAUAUCUUAGUGAAAGCAAAGAGUUUGUCACCCUCAUGUCUUAAGAAAACUUAGUCAACGUAUAAGCUUCAUGGGCUUGCAAAAUUUCGGGUAGAAAUGAUAGCUAAACAUGUAAAAAACUGGUUAUACCCUUAUGAUCACGAAUGAUUGACGGACUUCUUAUGAGCAUAUCCUUACUUUGGACUGUCAUGAAGGAAUAAGUCAACGAUGGACUUUAUUAGCUUGUAAUUUGGCUUGAAAACGAUAGCUAAAGAAUAAACUUCCAAGGACAUUGCACUGAAAAUCGUAUCUUCCAAAAACUGCCCCUAUUUUGAACUCAAAGAUCUCAGAAUUUGUUCGUAUUCUUUUCAUCAUUCACCAGGGAUUUCAGCGUCGAAUUUUUCUGCAUUUUCUUGCAUUUACUUUUCUUGCUUUGCUUUUUGCCUUUUCUUUUUCUGGUGGGUUUUCACAUGAUGAGUAGCGUCAACCCCAUACUCAGGCAAUUCAGAAAUACAGCUAAAAUUUUCAGCAUCAGAAAUUUUCUUGACAAGGCCAUUGCAAAGAACAGAAGUCAGGACUUUCGGCUUUGUAAUGGGGUCAGGUGGGGUGCUUAGAAAAGUUAAGGCUUGAAGGCAGGUUUCAAAAGCGGUUUAAGUAAUCUGAGAUCGCAUUGUUGUGGCAACCCUAUUUUAGGGUAAAAUCAGAAUUUGCCUCAGUUUUUGCUCAAUUGAGGCUUUUCACUUUCAUUUCCUUUUUCUUUUGACUUUUCGGCCUUUUGCCAUUCUUUUGAACUUUCACAAAAUUUUGCCUCCAGUUUAUUUUUGAACUGAAGUACUCUUUUCUUCUUUUGCUUUUGAUUUUGUUGCAUUUCACUUUUUCACUUCUUGAAACUUUCCUUUUUCAACCCAACGUGCCCCAGUGUGGGGUUUGCGAUUCUCAGGGGUUGCCAAAUGAAGUAUUUUAUUCUGAAGGCUCAAAAAGGAUAACUAGGGAUAGAAUGUUUGAUUGGAAAAAAAGAGGGCCUGACUUUUAUUCUGCCCUUACAAUGACUCUGAAAGGAAACUUUCAUUAAUGCGAAAUUUUUGGCAUGUAUUUGAAUUAACUGAUUGAGGAGGACCCUUGUUCAUCCAUAUGUGUGAAACAUAGGCGAUCCACGCGGACAAAACUCUUCCUUUUCUUUUUUCAAAAUUGGAACCCAAGUGGAAUCAAAUUUCCCCAACUUGCGGUUCUCUUUCCCCCUUUCUUUUCCCUUUUUUUUUCAAAAUUCCCCAAUCUCCUUCCCCAAUGUGGGGUGCGAUCAUAUAUGCACUCGAAAAAGAACCACCAAUUUUGCUCAAAUAGGGAUGCAAGGGAUGAUCAGUGUUUAGGUUGUAGAAACGACGGCCAAAGCGUCAUUCUUACACCUCAUGACAACCAAAGUAACGAAAUGGUCAUUAAGAAUCCAUUCCCCUUUUGAUAUUUGAAAAUUUUCCAAUGAAGGGUAGUGAUCAUUAGGGCUCUUAUUUGAAACGAAAUUAUUCUUUUAAAGGCUCAAAUGGGAGAGCAAAUGAUAAAAUGUGUAUAGGUAGAGAAACGAAUGCUCAAAGUAUCAUUCUAAAUUUUCAAAAUAAACAAGAAUGAUGCACAUUUUUGCUUUCACUUAGAUGUGAUUGAAUCGGAUUAGACACCGCGGAUAUUUUCAAGCAAAAGUUGCCCCAAUUUAUCAAUCAAUGUGACUGACUUUAUUUUGGGAUUAAGUGCAGGAGAAAAGGUAUCUCAUGGGCCUUCUGAAUGACCUCUUUCAAUUUUUGAGCACUCUUAUUGUGUAGCUCGGAUCACCAAUCUAGUGUAUACAUUUGUGAGUUUUCAGGCCAAAGGUUGAAAAAUCUCAAUUUGAGCUUAUUUCUUAAAAUUCACCAUGAAAUCUCUUAAUGAGCUCAAUAAAGAAUGAAAUGCACAUGAAUAUACACAAAACAAUAAUUGUCCAAAAAUUUUAUUGCUGAAAAAGUUUGAAACAAAAUUUCUCGUUCAAUUAUGAUACAAAUGAGAAUAGAAAGCUUCUAAAGAGCUCCACAUAUAUAUCCCUUUUGUCUCCUUCUCUUUUGACACAAAAAUAUAUUAACAAGUCAAAUACACAGAAUUUUCCUUGAAAGCAAUUAUGAAAUCUCUUAGAAGCUCUUAGCCUAGAGCUUUCAGAUGGAUCUUUCAUGUUUCCAUUGUUGGAUCUGCCCAAGAAUCAAACAAUACUUGCAAUUUUGACACUUUAUUAGAUCCAAAUUAUCAUCAGAUACAGAAAAAUAUUUUUGCCUUAUUGAAACAUUUUUAUGAAUGCAAGGGAAGGGAGAAAACAAAAGAAAGAAAAAACCAUGAGUUAGUAAACAAGAAUAUAAAAUCGGUAUGCAUGUCCUAUGGGGGAACCCUUUUAUGCCAAGGGUAGGCCUAGCAUGAAAAUGCAAUCCUCUAGAGCAGGCACUAUACAAUACCUGAUGGAUCCAAUCAGCUUAUGGAGUGAAAAAUAAUUUUGAAAAAAAUUGGCCCAUUGGAACGAGAAGAGACGUUUGUCAACAUGAGGACCUCGUCCGAAGGGAUUGAUCACUUUUGAUUGAUACAAGAACUUACAAAAACGCACGGGUUUGAUCUUGACGAACUUCCUAUUGAAGAGAUUGGAAUUCGUUUUGACAACUUUUCUCAGUGAAGCACGGGUCAAAACUCCAACUGAUCAAAUGGCUAGAUGCAAAGGAUGUUUUUCUCAAAAUCAACUAGGUUUUCCAUUUUGAAACUCGACAUUGAAACCCUAAUUGGUCAAAUGAAAUUGACAAUUUUAUUAAAAAUCGACUGGAUUACCCUAAAAAGGGAAACAGGUCAAAUGAAUUGAAUGAAAUUUAAUUUAUCCAAAAUUAAUCAGAUCACCCUAAAAAGGGUAAAUUGAUCAAAUAGAUUGAACGAAACUUGAUUUUUCCAAAAUCGGCUCGGUUGCCCGAAAAAUGGGUAAAUUGGCCAAAUGAAUGAAAUUGAAUUAGUGAUUUAUUCAAAAAUCGGCCGAAUGACCCUAAAAAGGGUAAAUUGGUCAAAUGAAUUGAUGAUUUAUUCAAAAAUCGACCAUGUGACCCUAAAAGGGUAAAUUGGUCAAAUGAAUUGAUGAUUUAUUGAAUGAAUUGGCAAAAUGGAUCGGUUGAAUUGUCCGGCCAUUGGUUAUUUCAAAAUUAUUGAGGUGCAUUGGUCUAUGACCUUCUAAAAAUCAAAUUUUGGCCUCAAUUUAUUUAUCGUCUCAAUAGGAGGAAUCAUUUGUGAAUUUCUUCAAAUUAAUGUCCUUCACGCAAGGGAUUUUUACCAAUUUUUGAUAAAAUGGCCAAAGAGUGAUUAUUAGAUGCUCAUAUUCCAAAGAUCACUCUAUGAAAAUGAUCGGAUCCUACCUUACCUUGUGCACUACCCCUUUGGAUGGUACAAAAUGUAAACGUGCAAGUCUCUUUGGAUUAAGUAUCCGAGACACAAGGUGGCUUAUUCCUAACACAGGAUCCCCUAAAUGGCAUUCCCUUUCUAGGGUUUAUGCGUGAUGCCAGUUUAUUAAAGCGAUAUAAAUAUGUGACAAAUAUGGCCUAAAGGAUAUAAAUAAUGCAACGGGGGAAAAGGUCUAAACAUGAAAUGUAUUUACUGAAAGGUAAGUGCAAAGACUGAAAUUUAGACAUGUGAGCUAUCUAGUGGAUGAGUCACUAAAAGAGUGCCAAAGAGGCCCCUUAUUGCUAUGGCACAUGAAUGCAGGCCAAGAAAACAAAAAAAAUGGUUAGUGCAGUUGAUAGUACACAUAACACAUUGUAACAACAAGAUAAAGCAAUCAAAGCAAUAAAAAGGAAAAAAAGGGUUGGACCCCUCCCCUCGUGAAUAGUGUCCCUAGCUUAGGAUAAGGCCGACUCUACCCUAGGCAAGCUAUCAUGGAUGCAUGAGGUUGGGGUUCACUAUGCAUCUAGACUCGAUGAGCUCAGGUCCCCGAGCCUUCAGACUUAGAAACCAAGGGUCACCAAUCCCAAGGUUCUUUGUCGGUGGCUCGAGCGAUUCCCCAAACACCGCUACGCACACAUCGUGUCACGGCUACGUGUUUGAGUGAAUCUAUCAAAACCUCAAUCUUCGACCAAAAGCUAAAGGCUAUCAACCAAUAGCUUUAAGCGGAAGAUUGAGUGACCCAUUGGAACAUGCUACACACACAUCGUGUCGUGAUCACAUGUCCAAGUGAGUCACCUAAUCCUAAUAGGGUGGAGUGGCGUGACAAGCCACUAAAGAAAAAUAAAAGGGAUAAAAGAAGUAAAGCGUAUGCUCGUAUGCUAGUGCUCGUUUGGAGGGGAAGGGUCAAGAACCAGCGCGAGGCUCUAGGGUGACCCAUACCUCCCAAAAUGCAAUGCAAGCGCGAGAUAACAAGUAAACACACAUCCAAUCAACCAAUCACACAUACGUGAGUGAGGGAAUAGUUGGAUACGCGCGCGAGGCAAAAAGGCCCUAAAAAUGGAAAAUGCAAGCCUAAUAUCCAAAUGCAAUGCAUAAAAAGGGUAGAAAAAGGAAACGAAUGGCUAAGUCAAAUGCUUGGACCCACUUAGGAAGUCCCCAGUGGAGUCGCCAACUGUCGCGCCCCACUUUUUGAAAUGUGUUGUGUGAAUGUGAGUGAUGCGUGUGCAAAAUGAAAAGUAAAAAGGCCAUGGGACUUUGGAAAGCGACGAUUUGGCCAAAUGAAAUUUUAAAAAGGGUUUUUUAAAUAUGAAAAUGGAGUCGCCACUUGGUAUAGAUUUGGGGUGUACCAAGUCACCCAAAAAGUAUUUUUAAAGACAAAGUAGUGAAAACCCUUUUUAAAACGACUCCUAGUCCACGUAAGCCAAAGAAAAAGGUUCGGGGGUCACGUUUGACAAAGGGGAAGGCAAGGAUAGAAUCCAAGGCACCCCUUUGACCUAGCCAAGGCUAGUUGCGCGACUCAAACCAAUUUUUCCUAAUUUUUCUACCCAAGGUAUGUAUCGCGUAUUGGAUAUGUCUAUAUGAAUGCGAAAACCUAGACCUAGGGGGACAUGGGGGAAAUUUCUCUUCAAAGGUUGAGUGGUGCCAAUCACAUUAAUUGUGAAGCCCAAUAAUGAUCCUUUUGGAGAGGUCACACCUAAACCUAAAUGACGUAAAAAAUGAGUGGAAUGCAUGCCAUGUGAAAGUGUGAGUUUGUGUGAAGUGGGAAGAUUGAUAAAAUACGAUACAAGUGGUGGUGUGCAAAUGUCUUUGAAUGCAAAUAUAUAUACUCCAAGUGCAAGUGGGCAAAAAAUGCAUGUAUGCAAUUUAAAGAAAAGUGCGAAAGUGUCGGUGUGCAAAUGAAGAUGAAAGUACUCGUGUGCGAGUGAAGAUAAGAGUGUUCGUGUGCAAAUAAAAGUGAUAAAAGGGUGCAUGUGUGCAAAUGAGACAAAAGUGAAAGUGUAAUGAUAGAGUGGAUUGAGAAUGCAUGAGCUUAGGGAAUUUAUGCAUAUUGGGUACGGGGAGGCCUAAAUCGUGACUCAAUUUGCCCUUUGAUAGAGGGAAUACAAGCGUGCUAAGGCUUAGAAAAAGCCACACUCGUCUAUAUCCCAUAUUUAAGGGGACUCUUCAGGCAAAUGUACCCUAACUAGCAUGAGAUGCAAAGAAUCCUAAAAUGAGGGAAAAGGGGCUCGAGGAGCAUGCCAAAUGAUAAAAUUAAGAAAAAUGCAUGACAUGUAGUGAACAUGCAAAUAUGCACUAACAAAAAGGGAUGGCCUAAUGAGCCACAACUAGCAUUGGACUAGUGUGGUGACGUACAUUCAUCCAUUCCAUUCAUUCAUGGUUAUGAAAGCAAGUAGACAUGCCAAAACGCUCGUAAACACGUAGCACGUAGCACUUAGCAUGCUCGACUAGAUGCAAGAGCCUACUAAAGCAAUUAAACAUGUAGCAACAAAAACAAGCAACCAAGGGGAAGGGGAAAUGGACCAGAUGCUCUACGAGCCCUAGCUAUUACAAGCCAAGAGGUGUACACAUACCCCAUGAAAACAUAAAGGGAAAGGGUGAAUGGACCAGAUGCUCUCCGAGCCCUAUCUAUUACAAGCCAAGAGGUGUACACAUACCCCAUGGAAGCAUAAAGGGGAAGGGGAAAUGGACCAGAUGCUCUCCGAGCCCUAUCUAUUACAAGCCAAGAGGUGUACACAUACCCCAUAAAACUUAAAUAAAAGUAAAAACAAGCAAAUGCAGGCAAGGAGGUAAGGAAAGCGGAGUAGGCAUGCAUAUUCACAUAACACGUAGGAGCACGUAAGGCUAAAUGUAGUGCAAAUGAGGGAUAGAGUGUACCUCCCUUGAAUUGACGCCCCAAUGAAGUGGAAUUAUUCAAUUACCCUCCAAAAUAAAAGAAAUGGUCAAGGUACCAAUUUAUUUGGGAAAAUUAAAGGAAAUAGGCAAUCACAAGCUCACUUGAUCGUAAAGUCCCUAAAGUCAUGACUUAAGCGCAAUUGAAACAAAGCAUGGUAAUUAAUUGAAGCAAACAAGCAAUGAGAUUGCACAAAUUAAAACUGCCAAGGACCAAAAUGAAGAGAUUAUUCAAUUGGUUGGGUCAUGGUGAAACUAAAGGGAACUUGGGGGGUUAAGGUGCAAUUUUUGAAAACAUUUUCCAUGCAAGUUCAUGCAACUGACGCAACUUGUUCUUUUCUGCAAAUUUUCCAGCCAACAUUUUCUGCAAUCUUUUCCAUUUAGCCUUACCAAACUUGAGUGCAACUUAACUCAAAACAAUCCAAUGGAUUCCACAACUCAACUUGAGUGCAAUAGAGUACCAUGAUCAUUUGCUAAGCCUCGAUCAAAUUUCCAAGAAGACAAACUCAAAAACAAGAUAAAGAAAACUGAAAACUUCCUACACGCAUGCUUUGUAGAAAGAAAAUAGCAGCUAUAAUCUCUCGCAGCCCAAAAUCUUUCAACAAUCUAUUCAACAAUCUCCAGGACUACACCAAAACACAAGGAAGGUAACUACUGGAGCAAAUGAACAAACAAGAGAAAGAUAAGCCACAAAUAUUGAAAACAUUUCUGCAUUCUUCAGUUGCAGCUUCAUGUAAAAACUCGGCAAAUAAUACUCAUAUACAGCUUUGGAACUACUGUAAUCAAAAGCAACGGGUAACAUGUCUUAAUCAAUGCAACUGGCGGGAGAAAACACAUAUAAGCUCCAUGCAAAUUUCGAACAGCUUUUGCAAUAAAACUUUCAACAAAAUCUGAAGCUUUCAACAAAGUCCUGCUGUAUAUUUACGGCACUAAAAUACACGGAUGAAUAACUCUAACAUGCACAAACCAUUGUUUAUUACCCCAAACACAGACAUUGCCAAACAUCAUUUUUGACAUUACUAAAACAUGGCAGCCUAUCUUUAGCCAACCCAACCGAGAACAAUAAAGAAAAUGCAGCAAAAGAAACUCAGUCGUGAAUCAUGCAUUGCCCAGAAUUCUCCAACCAGAUUGUGCACCAAGACAACCAAAAGAACAGUCAUGAACUCUAAUGAAACAUGUAAAUCCGUCAAUUAACUUCUCAUGGACUUUAUUUUCACAAUCCCAAAGCCAAACUUUAAACACAGAAAGGGCCAUAGUCAAGAAAACAUCUAGAAAUGAGCAUGAAGAAAACCCAUUAGCAAAAACUCAAGAUUCAUGUCUAACAAAUCGGAAUCUUCAUGAAAUGCGUAUAAAAAUAACAAAACGGGAAGCAAGGGUUACCUCCGUAUGUUCAUGGGGCCAAAGCAACGCGAGCAAUCUGAAGACAUGCGUUCGAACGAAAGGUUUGAAGCUGCAAAUGGCUGAGAUUUGCCUUUUCGGCGAAAAUUCUGCACUUUUCUUUCAGUCUUCCUCUUUUGCUUCUUGCACUGCCCGAAAUUCCUUCUCCAAGUUCCAGAUUUCAGCCGCAGCUCCCUUCUCGGUUUUCCUCAACUUUUUCCAGCUCUCUUCCUGGAUGUCGCUGUCAUGGUCGUGGUCUUCAUCAGGUUUGGUGAGGGCAGGAGCCGUGGUGUUGAGGACAUCGUCUUCAGCUUCAGCUUCGGCUUCUGCUAACCGCUGCAGUAAUUGACUCAGAGCGAGAAACAGCAGCUUGGGUGGUUGCGCCAGUUGGUGGCUUCUUCUGAGCAGUCGCUGCAGCUGUUGCGGCGGAGGAAGAGGUCGAUGACGAUGACGAUGACGAGGAGGCGAGAUUCGAGUUCAGACGGCUGUUUCCCUUUUCUGUUCGGGUGUUGCCUUCCCAAAACCCUUCUAAAACCUCUCUGUUUCCACUCUUCAGACCCUAGCCCAGAUUUCUCUCCCUUCUGAUUUCUAGCCGGCCGUCACUCUAUCCCCCUCUGUUUUUUUUCUCUUGCUUCACUUUCUAUCUUAAACCCUCGCUGUUACCUUCACCCUCAGUUUUUCUCCUUGCCCGUCAACUCUUUCUGUUUUGUUUUGCCUGAAACCCUUCAAUCUUUCUCCCUCUUUGCGGCUGUUUCCUCCCUGGUUUCUAUCCAAUGCUACGUCACUCUCUUUCUGUUUUGUUUUGCCUGAAACCCUUCCCCCAAAACUCCUCCUUUGUUUUUUCUUUUUGCUCUUCUUUUGCUCGAUGCCCUCUCUCCCGUUGCGGCUGCUGCUGCAUCUUCUAUUUAUAUGGGGCCACCCCAACCCUAAAACUCCCAUUGUCUCCUCUAAAAUUGCAGCCAAGGGCUGCCCGAGCCCUUACUUGCAAGCUGCGUAAAAACGCAGCUUGCCAUCGCGUAUUCCCUUUUUUUUUUUUUUUUUUUUAAAGUAAUUAAAAUUGAUAAUAGUAAAAAUAAAUAACAAAAACAAUUUAAUUAACAUUGGAUGAAAAAUAAACUAGAAACAACAAAGUGCAAAUUCCAAUUCAUCAUCUUUUCAUUUUCCAUUUUUCCUUUUUUUCUUUAAAUAAUGAAACUAAAACAUAUUUUUUUGAACACUUUUCUUUUUCCUUUGAGAAAUUCUAGCUAAAAAUGGAUAAAAAUGACUAAAACUAAAAGUAAAUAAACUAAAUGUGACAAUUAAAAAUAGAACAAAUAAAAACGAAUAGUAAAUAAAUAAAUAAAUAAUAAAACACCAAAAAUUUGGUGUCUACAGGGGAGCAACGUUGGUGCUCCAGAUCAUGUCACGAACUCACGAAAGUGGUGGAGACGUCGGCUCCAGGUAAAUAGUAGAGGAGACGUUGGUGUUCAGUACAAGACUCCCAAGAACUCAUUUAAGCCAAAUCAUUUCAUGGGCUCACAUGCCGGCACACAUGAUAUGCAAACGAGUAAAUAAUGCAAGAAACACUUCGCAAGUAACUUUGAAAAUAGUUUAGGGUCACUCACCUCCACGGCUCAGAAACCAUCCAUCAUAUAUCAUUACCUUGCCCGAGUUCAAGCCCUAAAUCACAAACUCAAAUGAAUCAUACAUUCUCAAAGUUCGGACAGCAUUUCCCCAUAAAUACUUCAUUUCCAACCUAUAAUAUAUUACCAAUCACACAUACGGUUAAUAAGCAAUAAAAUAUAUCCAAUUAGGCCACAAUAUCCUUCAAUCAAAGCUAAUUAAAAGCUUAUGAGCCACCAUUAGAAAAACCCCCAAUUAAACCCUAGAAACCGGAAAUCAUUCCCUCAAGCGUAAAUUUGGGCAGCAUGCUCUUUGUGUUUACCCAAUUGUCCAGCCAUUUUGGCUUCAUUAUUUUUUCUCAUUCAAACCCAAAGGUACACACACAACAAUCUAACUUCAAUAGCCGUUCAAUAGGCUCAAGACAAUACAAGAACUUAAAUCAACUAAUAACAAAUGCGGAAAUGAAGUUUACAAAAGACAGAUUUGACAGGUUUUUGCGGAAAGAACACAUCUGGGGCUACGCUUAUCAGAUUGGUGUGAAAAUUAUACCAUUUCGAAGCUAAGAUAAAGGGCUACAACUUUCAUGAAGAUCACUUGGUCAAAUUUCCAGUGUAACCUGGUCAAAUUCCCAAUUUACAGAGCUAACUUCCAACUAUACGGCUAAUUAACCGCACUGCACUAGAAUGGUCAUAUCUCAGGCUACCAAGGUCCGUUUAAGGUGUUCUUUGAGGCGUUUAAAAGCUAAGCCAGAGUACUAAAACUUUCAUGUUUUGGAAAAUGGCUAAAUCAGCACGGAUCCUAGUGAAUAAACAUGAUAAACUGGAUGAACUGACUAAAACGGAACACUGGAAACAUCCUAAAAUAGUGAGGGUAUUUUGGUCUUUUCACAGGUUACGUUGAUCCGAUUGAGCUGAAAUUUUGUAGGUAACCAUAAAAUAUCAUUCUCUACAACUUUCAUGUUUUGUGCCAAGCCUAAUUCGGCCUCUACCAUACACAAAUAAAACCGGGCAGAACAGAACAAGUUCUUUUCCAAUGAAACCCUAGGCUGAAAUUCCAUCAACCUUUGCCAAUCUAGGUUUUCAUCCAUAAAACUUCUAAGAUUCAGGUCAUCUAUCCAAUAAAAUACAAUAUAAGAGGUAGAAGAAGAGUUUCUUAGUUUAAUACCUUCAAACCUCAAGGAAAUACACAAAAACAAGGCUGCCCAUGCAACAAUCACUCCACCCAAAGCUUCCUUGUCACCAUAUUGCAAGUUUAAUCGGUUUAAUCUUUGUGGUUUCAACUCAAACAAGGUAUAAUCUAAGAUGGAACUUGAAGCUCUCCCUCUCUUUUUCUCCUCCCAAAUUCGUCCAUCAUGGAAGGCAAAGGAAGAAAAUGGUGAUUGACUUGAGUUGGAUAAGUUUUAAACUUAAUCUUGGUCAAGAUUGGCUUGGUGCUUGACAAGUGGCACAAAUCCAAGGGAAAGUCUAUCUAAUUGUCUCUCUUAAGUACUCAAAUAUCUAUUACUCCUCCAAUCAUCUCUUAACACCUUUUGUCACAUAAUUUCUUUUGCACAAAACUCAUUCUAGUCGUUAAAAUUUUACCGUACUAACCGUACUAGCGGGUCCCACGUUGAUAGUACACUUCAAACUUAACGUGAACUAACUUAUAUCAAAGAAAUGAUUUGAAAACUAUAUUCCCUUAUAAAAAUGUAUAAGAAAUUAAUAUAUUGAAGAAAGACACAAAAUUAUAGACAAGGAAACAAAAUAAUGUUUCGAAAAUAUAUAAAAAUUUUCGGGUUCUCGCACUCAUCCUUUCGGGGUGUCACAAACUCCCCUCCUUAAAAGAAUGUCGUCCUCGACAUUCCAUCUUGUACCAGUCAAGUCAAGACAUCCCGCAAGAAUCACUAAUAUUUCAAACCAAACCCACAGUCCAGCAUCUUAAACUUCAAGCCUAGGAUACACUACAGGAAUCUGAAGCCUAAACUCUGAUACCAUCUAUGACGGCCCCACCUCCCCCUAAGGCGAACCCAAGUGUUCGGCGGACCGCCUGCCCGGCUCUCGCCGGGACUCACUCACUACAAACCUCAAUUCAAUUACAAUAUAAAUCUAAAAUAUACAUCAAAUUCUCCAAUAAUUAUAUGUCAUAAGCGAAGCGUCCACGCUUCCGCUACGCCACUCUGAUCCUUGAUACCAGCUAUUAUACAGGAGAAAUUCCAAAUCUAAACUGUACAAAAUAUAGGCCAUCCAGUCACGUGAAUAAGUAUUACAAGUCCUUCCUUCGCCACGAGCCCUGUGGAGGGGAAUAAAAUAGUUUUGGGGUGAGCUAAAAGCUCAGUGAGUAACCAGCAAAAUCAGUAAGCAAAUAUAUUUCAAGAUAAUGCACUUCAAUGAUGUCAUGAAUCAAGGAUCAAAUGUACGUUUAUCGCUCUCGUGAGCCAAUGAAAUCAUUGCACUUAAACACCCAACGCUCAAAAAGAUUAUUUAACGAUAAACAAUAAGGGGGAGCAACGUUGGUGCUCCAGAUCAUGUCACGAACUCAUGAAAGUGGUGGAGACGUCGGCUCCAGGUAAAUAGUAGAGGAGACGUUGGUGUUCAGUACAAGAGUCCCCAAAAACUCAUUUAAGCCAAAUCAUUUCAUGGACUCACAUGCCGGCACACAUGAUAUGCAAACGAGUAAAUAAUGCAAGAAACCCUUCGCAAGUAACUUUGGAAACAGUUUAGGGUCACUCACCUCCACGGCUCAGAAACCAUCCAUCAUAUAUCAUUACCUUGCCCGAGUUCAAGCCCUAAAUCACAAACUCAAAGCAAUCAUACAUUCUCAAAGUUCGGACAGCAUUUCCCCAUAAAUACUUCAUUUCCAACCUAUAAUAUAUUACCAAUCACACAUACGGUUAAUAAGCAAUAAAAUAUAUCCAAUUAGGCCACAAUAUCCUUCAAUCAAAGCUAAUUAGAAGCUUAAGAGCCACCAUUAGAAAAACCCCCAAUUAAACCCUAGAAACCGGAAAUCAUUCCCUCAAGCGUAAAUUUGGGCAGCAUGCCCUUUGUGUUUACCCAAUUUUCCAGCUAUUUUGGCUUCAUUAUUUUUUCUCAUUCAAACCCAAAGGUACACACACAACAAUCUAACUUCAAUAGCCGUUCAAUAGGCUCAAGACAAUACAAGAACUUAAAUCAACUAAUAACAAAUGCGGAAAUGAAGUUUACAAAAGACAGAUUUGACAGGUUUUUGCGGAAAGAACACAUCUGGGGCUACGCUUAUCGGAUUGGUGUGAAAAUUAUACCAUUUCGAAGCUAAGAUAAAGGGAUACAACUUUCAUGAAGAUCACUUGGUCAAAUUUCCAGUGUAACCUGGUCAAAUUCUCAAUUUACAGAGCCAACUUCCAACUAUACGGCUAAUUAACCGUACUGCACUAGAAUGGUCAUAUCUCAGGCUACCAAGGUCCGUUUAAGGUGUUCUUUGAGGCGUUUAAAAGCUAAGCCAGAGUACUAAAACUUUCAUGUUUUGGAAAAUGGCUAAAUCAGCACGGAUCCUAGUGAAUAAACAUGAUAAACUGGAUGAACUGACUAAAACGGAACACUGGAAACAUCCUAAAACAGUGAGGGUAUUUUGGUCUUUUCACAGGCUACGUUGCUCCGAUUGAGUUGAAAUUUUGUAGGUAACCAUAAAAUAUCAUUCUCUAAAACUUUCAUGUUUUGUGCCAAGCCUAAUUCGGCCUCUACCAUACACAAAUAAAACCGGGCAGAACAGAAUAAGUUCUUUUCCAAUGAAACCCUAGGCUGAAAUUCCAUCAACCUUUGCCAAUCUAGGUUUUCAUCCAUAAAACUUCUAAGAUUCAAGUCAUCUAUCCAAUAAAAUACAAUAUAAGAGGUAGAAGAAGAGUUUCUUAGUUUAAUACCUUCAAACCUCAAGGAAAUACACAUAAACAAGGCUGCCCAUGCUACAAUCACUCCACCCAAAGCUUCCUUGUCACCGUAUUGCAAGUUUAAUCGGUUUAGUCUUUGUGGUUUCAACUCAAACAAGGUAUAAUCUAAGAUGGAACUUGAAGCUCUCCCUCUCUUUUUCUCCUCCCAAAUUCGUCCAUCAUGGAAGGCAAAGGAAGAAAAUAGUGAUUGACUUGAGUUGGAUAAGUUUUAAACUUAAUCUUGGUCAUGGUCUUGGUCAAGAUUGGCUUGGUGCUUGACAAGUGGCACAAAUCCAAGGGAAAGUCUAUCUAAUUGUCUCUCUUAAGCACUCAAAUAUCUAUUACUCCUCCAAUCAUCUCUUAACACCUUUUGUCACAUAAUUUCUUUUGCACAAAACUCCUUCUAGUCGUUAAAUUUUACCGCACUAACCGUACUAGCGGAUCCCACGUUAAUAGUAUACUUCAAACUUAACGUGAACUAACUUGUAUCAAGGAAAUGAUUUGAAAACUAUAUUCCCUUAUAAAAAUGUAUAAGAAAUUAAUAUAUUGAAGAAAGGCACAAAAUUAUAGACAAGGAAACAAAAUAAUGUCUCAAAAAUAUAUAAAAAUUUUCGGGUUCUCACACUCAUCCUUUUGGGGCGUCACAAGAACUUUUGUUGUUUUUUUUUCCUUUGUGUUAAUUAUGUUGUGAAACAAUAUGUAAUGUAAUUGCAUUUAUAGUUCAACUCUUAUAUUUUGCACAACCAAUUCUUGUGCCCUGAUGAAAUAGAUGCUGCUGGAACGAUUGAAGGAAAACCGAGAAUGCAAAACUGCCUUUACUCUACUUGGUCAAUCUAUCUUGAUCUGAUGUGCAGAGGUUCUUGAAUUUAUGAAAAGGGAAAGCUAUCUUCAUAUACUUCAUGUCCUUGGAGAGGUCGGAUUGCAUCUUUCUCUAAUAGUACAGCAGUAAGGGUAUUCUUGAAAUCUGUUUUAGUAUAUUAGCCAGCUUCUCUUCGUUGCUUAUUAAUUUCCCUCUAUUUAUUGCACUUUGCUUUUGGUUUAUGGUAAUUGAAUUUUCUUUUCCUCCCAUUCUCUCUGCGAUCAUGUCUUCUUGUUUAUUCUGCGAUUUUGUUAAAGUACUUCUGUUGUUCAAUCAUGUUAUUACCUUCCUUCUCUUUUCAAGGUCUCGACAAUCAUUCAAUUGGGGUCUUGAAUUUUUUUUUAUUUUUUUGCCUUAAAAUGCAUUUUUGUUGGCAUUCAAAUACAGAUUUUUACACUAGAGCAAAGUUUCAGAAGGCCCAGCUAGAGUUUCUAAGUUCAGAGAGAUCAUGGCAACAGUUUAUAGUCCACUUAUGUAUCAAAUUCAUGCUAGCUUGAUUGGUUGCUGAUUAAUUGGAAAAAUUCCCAAAGUUCUAUGGACGUAGUAAUUGACAGAGGAAUGUAAAAUUUUUUUUAUCUGAUAGGGUCUUUCACACUCUCAUGAGUUGAAGAUACCAUUCAGCAUCCUGUAGUUGAAGAUACUAUUAUAGAUGGUUUCUUAAAAAUGUUAAGUAUGUAUUCUUAUCUUCUUUAAGUUGCAUUGCACAUAGCUCCCAUUCAUACAUCCUGCCUCGGUCUAAAUCAUGUAAGUCAUCAUGAGUUAGACUUCUAAUUGGAUCACGUCGAAUGUCCCUUCAGUUCUUAUUGGAUCAGUUGUGCAUUUUACGAUAUUUAUACAGCGAGGUGUCUUGGUUCUUCUAAGGACACCUUUUACCCUGAUUUCUUUGCAGGUAAAUCUAGUUCAUGCUUUAAGGGACAAUUAUGAAGUGUGAUUUGCAUGUCAUUUGUCUGUUCUGCAUUUGCAUCCAAGUGUCUAAAUCUAUAAUCAGUGUCCUUUUUUAGUUGUUUUCUUGCUUAUGCUAAUUCCUGGCUAUACUGAUAGUUCAUAUAAGAAAUGAUUUGAUUUUCCAAAAGUACGAAUACACUUAUCAGAUAGAUGUUACGCAGCAAAAACUACAUAAAUGUUGUAAUUAUUCUUGAAUACAAGGUGGUAUGAGAGGAAGGGCAAUAUUGGGGAUUGGAUGACAAUGGAGACCUCCAAUCGUAUUGCAGGAUAGCAAAUUUUCAUAGGAGUUAGAUAAGCUGUCUUGCUAGGGUGGGUAGUGAAAGUACACUAGGAGAGAUAAACUGCAUAAUUUAUCCAUUAUUGAAUAUGUAGUGAUUCUCUAUAUAGCUUAAGGGACUGUUGAGAUUGUACUGCUUGUAAAUGCAAAUUAAGGUCUUCGCUAGUGCUGAAGGCUUCAAUCAAAAGCGAGAAGAUUACUGAUGAAAAGCGAGACAGGAGUAGGUUUCCUUUAAUUGUACUUGAAGGAAAUUAUAAGGCAACAAGAUUUCUAGAGGAUGAAAGUGUAAAAUCUUGCACUUCGAACUAGAAAUAUUGCAUGUGGAGCGAUAGACAAACUUAAACAGUAAUGUUAGUGGAAUAUCCCACGUUGAUAUUUCAAGGAUUUCCAACCAUAUAUAUAAGAUGUUGGGUCACUCCACUCAUUGCCAAUUGGUUUUGAAAUGGAAGUCCAAGUUUUUGAUCAUGGUAUCAAAGCUAGGCUUGGAUUUAUUUGUUACCGCGUUUAUAGGUUUUACUUGUGACUUGGUUCUUUACUAGUUUAAGUCCAUUCACCAAGUCACAUUUGCGGAGGGGGGUUAGUAGAAUAUCCCACAUUGCUAUUUCAAGGAUUUCUAGCCAUAUAUAUAAGAUGUUGGGCCACUCCACUCAAUUGGUUUUGAGAAGGAAAUCCGAGUUCAUUAAUGUUAGUUAUAUCUACAAAUAAAUGCUUCUUACUACAGUUAAGUGGCUAUUAGUGUUGAUCAGGUUUGCAUGAGCUGGCAUAAAAUGGUGUUGAAAAUUGAAGAAACAGAGCGUGUUUAAUUUGCUCAACGUAUGAUGCUUCUCUCCUCUCUCUCUCUCUCAAAAGUCAAGUUUAGUACUUUGAUGAAUUACGUUAUAAUCUGAAUCGCCCAUAAAAUGGUGUUGAAAAUUGAACAAACAGAGCGUGUUUAAUUUGCUCAACAGAUGAUGCUUUUCUCCUCUCUCUCUCUCUCUCUCUCUCUCAAAAGUGAAGUCUAGUACUUUGAUGAAUUACGUUAAUCUGAAUUGCCCGAAAAGUCAUAUUCUUGUGGCAAAAAUAGGGUUUCUCCAUUGUGAUUCAGAAAUGUUUUCUUAAAAUAAAAUUAAAAUGAGGGACAUAAGUGUCAAUAUGCAAGAACAGCCCUGCAUGUAUGGAUUAGGCCACGGAGGGACUGAUUUCUUUCCAGACCAUGAUUUAAUAUGAGUCUGAUAGCUCGGUUCACUAGAUUCACCUUUCCUGCCUUAGAACAAUACUAAUUUAGUCCAUAGUUUGUCUUUUAUUGUUUCAGUUAUUUUCUUUUUUCUUUUGGCCUUGUCCGUGUUAAAGGACUACUAGUUCUUCAAUUGAUCCUUUAAAUUUUCAAAACAUUGGUGAUAAAUUUAUUGACACACAGAGUUAUCAUGUUGACGUCAACGUGAUAACGUUUAUGUUCUUGUUGGCUAAAGAAAAAUACUUCACAUCAGAGAAUAUUGCAGACUCUAUGGAUGUUGAUGACUAAGAAUAUAUCAGAGAUGGUAACUUUGUGGAGUUCUACAUUCCUUCGUAGAUUGUACAUAACCAGAUACAAGUAAGGUGGUGUUUGGUUCGCACAUUGGUAUCGGAUUCGGAUUCGGAAUCGGAUAUCCUAAGUUUGGAAUGAGGUCAUUCAUUCCAAUACAUUUGUUUGGUUCAAGUACCUGGAAUGUGUAUCAUUACUAUAGUUGAUGUUUGGUUCAUCGACUCUUUCGGAAUGAAAUAUAAUAAAUAUAUUAUAAAUCUCAUCGUAAAUGAUAGUUACUGGCUCUUUGUAAAUGGGAUAUAAGAAAUUUUCACUAAUUAAAUAUAUUAGUAUAAAUGUAUUAGUAAAUUUAGUCUAACUAAUUAAUAAUUUCUAUUAGUCAACGUGUGCAAUUAUUAGUAUAAUUGAUAAUAUUAAUUAUAUUACAUAAAUUAAUAUACAUUAUAUAAUACAUAUAAAUAAUAAUAAUAUUAUUAUAAGUUUGUAACUAAUUAAAUUAAAUAUUAUAUAUAAUUAAAUAUAAAUAUAUAAAUGUUAUAAUAUAAAUAUAAAUAUAUAAUUAUAUAAUAUAUGCAAAUAUUAAUUAUACUAAUAUUUUAUCUAAAUAUAAUAUAUAUUACAUAUUAAAUAUAGUUAUUAUUACAUAUUAUUAUAUUUAAAAUAAUAAUUAUAAUUAUAAUUAUAUAACUUAUUAAUAUUACAUACACGUAUAUAUUAUAAUUAUAUGCACAUAUAAUGUACAUUUAUAAAUAUACAUAUAUAUUAUAAAUAUAAUAUUAUAUAAUAUUAAUAAAUUUAUAAUAUAUAUUAUAUAAGUAUAAUUAUAUUUAACUAAAUAAUUAUAAUAUAUAAUUAUAUAAUAUAAUAACAACAUUAUUAUAAGUUUGUAACUAAUUAAAUUAAAUAUUAAAAAUAUAAUUAAUUAUAAUUAUACAAAUGUUAUAAUAUAAAUAUAUAAUUAUAAUUAUAUAAUAUAUAAAUAUUAAUUGUACUAAUAUUUUAUAUAAAUACAAUGCAUAUUAAUAUUAGAUAUAGUUAUUAUGUUUAAAAUAAUAAAUACAAUUAUAAUUAUAUAAUUUAUUAAUAUUAUGUACAUGUAUAUAUUAUAAUUAUAUGCAAAUAUAAUAAGCAUUUAUAAAUAUACAUAUAUAUUAUAAAUAUAUUAUUAUAUAAUAUUAAUAAAUUUAUAAUAUAUAUUAUAUAAUUAUAAUUAUAUUUAAUUAAAUAAUUAUAAUAUAGAUUUAUAUAAUAUACUAGUAUUAUAAUAAUAUAUUAUAUAUAUGUAUAUAUUAUAAUAUGUACAUAUAUAUAAUAUAUAUAAAUAUUAAUUAUACUAAAUAAUAUGUAAUCGGUAAAAAAAUCUUGGAAUCACACUUGGGUUUUGGACAAAACCCACCCUUCUACUAAGGAAUGGAGAGACACCAAAUUUUUAGAAAUCAUUCCAAGAUUUCAAUUUUCAUUCCAGUGAACCAAAUACCAAUUAUAGAGUUCAUUCCAUUCCUUCAUUCUGAUACCCUUUUACCAAACGCCCCCUAAUUGAUGCUGUGCAUUCCCUAUGGCCGGUUUUUUAUAGGUAGCCUUGUAAAAUGCCUGGUUUGUGGCAACAAACCAAGUGCUACCUGGUCUUCUCCCUUGGUGGCAUAGCAAUUGAUUUUUUUUUUGGUAACCAAGAACAUACCCUGACUCGAACUCUUAGGACCCGAACCGGCACACCAAACUGGAGGAGUGCACCACGGCCCCACACAACGAUUUCGAGCGAGUCACGGGGGUUCAAGUUUAGGGUAAGAUUCGAAUUCAGGACCACAAGAGUCCUUAAGAGCCCGCUUACUGCUGGACCACCCCCGUGAGGGCCAUAGCAAUUGACUUUGAUGGAUCCCUUUUUAAGAAUUCGAAAGAGGUUGCUGCAGGAGUUUUGGUAAGGAAUGAUGCUGGGGCGUUUUAAAACUGGUUGUUUUAAAAGUUUGCCUAUGUAAUCAAUCCUCAGGCUAUGUUUUCAGACUCGGACCGGGUAUCGACUCGACCGAGCUCAGGGGUCAAUGAGUUUGACCGGGUUCGAUUGGGGUUGAACCGAAUGAUGUCAUAAAUAAAAAUUAUUUAAAAAUUAAAAUAUUGUAUAUAAAAUACCUAAAAAGUAUGUUAAUAUUAAUAAAGGUAUAUUCAUAUAUAUUUGAUGUUUCAAAUAACAAAAAAAUGCAAAGAAAUUAGAAUGAUCAAGUAGCAAUUUAUAUUAUUUAAUGAACAUUAACAAGUUUAGAAUUAAAAUCAUGGAUUUGAUUGAAAAAUAACAUCAAAUUUUAGGACAACAUUUAUAAAGUAUGAAAUAUUUGAGAUAUAUUAAUAAGUUUUAACAAUUUAGGAGUCAAAACAUAAUAUUGAAAAAGAUUGACCUUUUUUUUUAAAAAAAAUGCUCUUGUUGAACCGGUUUUCCAGGUCAAACUCGGGUUUUGUUCGAAUUUGACCGGAUUUUUAGUCCUCCGGUUUUGAAGAACAACUCGGACUGAACACUUAGCCGGUUUUCGGUUCGAUAGAUCGGACCGGCUGGUUCGGUCCGAGUUUAAAAUCGCAGUCCUCAGGUAGCUAAGAUAUUGGCUAAUAAAAUUUUCCUUGCCAGUAAGUAGUCGAAUUUUCCACUCACCUUUGAGGGUGAUGCUGCUUCUGUACCUCUGAUAAUCCGGGAUCCAAAUGCAGACUUAUUUGCUGCUGUGUGCUGAUUGAUGAUGCUUGCCAGCUGCUUAGUCCGAUUGCUAUUGAAUUAGUGUCUGUAGUGAUGUCACGAAACAAGGCUGCUCAAACAAUUUGGUAAGCAUGCUAAGUUGAAUUGUAGUACAUCACGGGGAGGCUCGGGGCGCCUUCACUUUUACGGUUAUCUUUUCUCGUUGAUGAUAUUUGCAUUUGGAUAGAAUAUUAUUUGAAAUAAUUAUUGUAGUAUUUUUGUGAUCUGAUGUAUUUGAGAUAAAAAAAAUGGUUAAGAAUAUAAAAAGAUACGUUGAAAAAUAUAUUUAUAAUGUAAAUGAAAUAUUAUUUACAAAAAUUUAGCUAUUUCUUUCAAAUAAAUCUACUACUGUCUUUUUUGGCUGGGAGGGGGGAGGGCGGGAUUAAGAAAAGAAGAAAAGAUAAAGACGUACCCUUUCCCAUGUUGAAAGUUUAUAAACAACGAUUCAAGAAUUCGAAGGAUACCAUUGUUCCCACUGUUAGAUGCAAAGCUAGCACCGAUGCCAGCACCAAUUUUUUUUUUUUAAACAUACGCAUAUCUCAAGGUUUAGAGUCAAGGUAUUACUCUUUCUUAUGAUAGGCUGCCAAUCCACUGAAAAUCAUAACAAUCCCACCAAGGAAAAAAUGAAAAAUAUAUACCUCCGAAAUUUCCCGAUCUUUUAUGGUCUUUUUAAAUUUCGAUCAUAAAAAAAUACACUGUUAUGGUCUUUUAUGGUCAUUUUUUAUGGACAUCUGUACGAGGGGAGAAAUGACGAAAGGUUAAGCAUCCAAACUACGUGAUGUAACUCUAUAUAACUUUUCAAAAGAAGAACUUCAUAUGCAUCUGUCCCAGAACAAAAAUGUAAACAAAAAAGCUUCACAUGCAUAUACCCGUGAACAAUGGUUUUAUUAGUACUAAAGGGAUAAGAGGGACAACUGUUCCUCAACAGAGCAGUCGACAUGACAAGAUAUCCGACAAGAAAAAGGGAUGAGAAUCAGACCAAGGCCUCGCUGUUCCACUGGAGAAGCAGGAGAACGUCUAAUACAACGAUAUUCAACUGCAUCUUGAAGGAUGAUAUUUCCUUGCUUAUCCAUGCAGUAGAAAUUACCCAAGAAGAAUCUUCCAUCUUUGAUCCCUACUAACAUUCGACGGGACAGCAGCCUUUUCACUCUGCUCACAUAAUUCAAAGUUGUUGACUCCAACCCUUCUGAGCUUCUUCUCUGAUGUACAGAUGAUGUCUCUUCUUCUUGUUUGGGAUCCAUUCACCUUGAACAAUUUCCUAGAACGGUGAGAAUUUGAACAAGUUGCUUCGUAGGCUUUAACAAAUUCCUUUACAGAUAAAUAUGGCCCUCUGAACUGCGACAAGCGAGCACAAAGGAUACAAAUAACCCAGUGAGCAUGCUAUUGCCAAUCACAAACAUAUCUAAACAAAAUCUUGAUUCUGUUUUGUAACUUCCAAGAGGCACACCAGAUAAUAGUUAAGAAGGUAAACUGACUUUGGCUUUAUUUAGCUCUGCCUCCUUUCAUUUAAACUUUUUUUGGAGCAAGGUGCUAGGGAGGUGGGAAAGAGUUCAUCAUUUCUUCACCUGUGUCCUAGAAUACAGUUUCGAACUCAUGCAAUGAAUACCCCUCCUUUACACCUGAAAAAAACAGAAACAACAGCUUAAAAUUGGAAAGAAAGAAUAUCAUCGGAAGUUAAAAAAGGCAGUAAGGGUAAAUGUUAACUUGCACAACAUCCAUAAGGACCAUAACCCUCGCAUAAGAGGAUUGUAGUACUACUAGAUUUCUGCCAACUAAAAUAUGGAUGACAAGAUCAUGUACAAAUUUCUUCAAAAGACUAAAUUAAAUAUAUGUUAUGCGUCUUCACAACUUUACCAAGCCGCGAGCAACCCAAGCUACUAAAUUAGGAGGACAAUUGGUCCUACCUGUUGGCUCAUUACCAAAAACAAACUAACAUGGUGCCAGCAAGGUGUCAUAAAUAUUUAUAGAACUACAUUUCAUAUUUCAAACAUUUUAACCAGCACUUAAAUGCAAGUUACCACGCAAGUUACCAUUUAAGAAACUCUUUGAGCAAUACUGUCUCAACACAGGAUUGGUAUUAUAAACUGUAGCAAUAACAAAAAUGACAACAUUCUCAAUUUUUUUCCUCAAAAGAGGCUUAACGGAUUUUAAAAUGCUCUUCAUACUAAAAUACAACAUGAGACCUUUUAUAAAUUGAAAAGAUUCUCUUUGAUUAUGUCAAAUUAAGGCUUUUUUAAGUGAGAUCACUCGACAUUUGCAGAAAAUUGGCAUUUUCAACUGAAAACUAUAGAAAUAUUAGAAGAUAAAGUAGAGAAUCAUAACCCCUGGAAGAAAGAAUAUAACACUUAUAAGUUGAGACUAAACCAAGGUAGAAAACCAAGAAAAAUACUGCCAACUAAAAAGUUUGUAACUAAACAAAGUCAUCUCAGAACAUAGGAUAGAUAUGAGUGGAAGAAUAUGAUACAAUAUUUUUCAAGUACCCAACUCAGAUUUUAAAACAAGAAUGGAAAAAAUGAGAUAUGCAGACAGGGAUGAGGAAUAACUAGUGAAGAAGGGACAUUUUUUGGUUGAUAAUGGUAACAAUGCAAAUUUCCAAAGUUGGGAAUCAAGUACGACUAGAGAUCUGAAAUUUCUUUUCCUCUUACAAUUUUUUUCUCUGCAAUGACUCAUGAGUCUAUAUCUUUUUUCUUUAUGGUUCUCCCUGCUUGUGUCCUUGCGAAAUCUGUUUUAGGACUUCAUUUUUAAAUCACCCUGAGGGAAAAAAAAGGUAGGGAAACUCAGAACACCAAGGUCCUAUAAGGCCCCAGUUUUGACCCUUUUUAACCUCAGUCCCAACAUGGUUCUGAAUCGAGGUUUCAGCAACUAAUUAAAUGGACAAGCAACCAGUUCUAGGUAAAAGUAGCUUGUCUGGUCCAGGCUUGAUUAUAAUUAAAAUUGGCCAGAACAGAUUGUUUUGACAGAGGAAACUACUGGUUUCGCAAAGACACACAGGAAAAGUAGAAAAUAGAUGAGAUAGUUUUAACUCUGAACUAUCUAAUUGGGAGUUAGAGAAUGACAAACUACUCAUCUUAUUACAAAGACAACAAACUGGAUGAUCAAACUUCAAAGACAGCAGCAAGAACAUAGCAAAUCAACUAUAUUAUACGUUUAAAUGCUAGGCUUUACACUCUAACACGUUCACUUACUACUGAUACAGUUACAUGUCAACAAAAGCUGCUGACUAGCUUAAACAGGUUUUUAAUGUUUGGCUUCACCUACUCUGGCAGACUCUUUUAAUGUUAAGGACAGCAGUAGUCGAUCAUCAAGUAGCACAUGCUAAGCAUGUGAGAAUUUGGACCUUUUGCAAACAAUGUACAUGUUAAAACAAAAUGUCACACACACACAGGUGAUUUUGCGGAUCAACAUAUCAGAAACUGCUAUAGAUUAAACAACAAAAAUCUUUCGUUCUUCUCAUCCACUUUGUAUCAUCAUACUAUCAGCUAUUUAAUUUCCAUUCCUCCAAUUUAUUCAAGUACUGAUCAUAUCUUUUUUUUUCUUCUAUCGCCAUCUUCAAAUUUUCUUUACCUUUUCCUACUCCUCUCAUCUUCAUUUCCCUUCGUUGGAUUAGGCUUUCCAAGAUUUACUUGUCCUCCUAUUAGAACAUUGCUUAUGCAGAUUUCUUAAUAGGAUAUACUAAAAAACUUCCUUUGUAGCCCAUUAAAAUUUCCAUUAUUUCUUUUAGAUUUUCUUCCUGCUUCUUGGAAAACAUUAUUCUCACCUACUACUAAUUCUCUUACUCUUACAACGUAAACUUAUAAUUCAAAUUCUGGAGAACUUAACCCUAUCUCUCUUAUUGGAUAAAUUACCACUAAAGUUCUAUAAUUUUUACUUCCAACAUUUUUUUGGUGUUAUUUUCUGCUAUGCUUAAUCAAAACUUGCAUAUUCUUUUGAAUUAUGCUAGCAGAACAUCAGUAUUCAGAUCAAAUCAGCACUUAUUCAAGGUUCUGCUUUCACCUGUCAUGCCCAAAUUUAGUCUUAACCACUGCAAGACGAAAAAGUAUAUAAAAUAGUUUUGAAAUUUUCGAUGAAACACAAAACAAAGGGAUGAAAAGAUGAUAAAAAGAAAAAAAUGGUAAGAAUGAUUUGAGAGGAUCAAAGAAAUGCUCCCUCACAUUCUGCAUUUGUCUGCUUUAUAGUCCCUCACUUUCAAAAGGAUGCAAUUUAAUCCCAAUUUAAUCCCUCAGAGUGGACAUGAUGCAAAAACAUUUUAGAACUUAGACUGUUGCGUUAGCAUACUGUUAAUUCCAUGUGUUUUGUAGUUUUAGGAUCAGUUUUGUUUAGCUGGUGCAUAUGUACUAGGCAUGUGCCUCAUAAGGGUAUUUUCGUCUUCUUCAGUUUAAGGCAACAACAUGUUCAGAGCCCUUUAAGUACCCAUUUUUAGGCACCGACAGAAGUUUUUCAUCUCAGUUAUAGCCUAAAAUUUACACUUAAUCUACUACACAAUCAAAUAGCCUAGAAGCUGACAUCCCUGAAAAUUUUGUGUUUUCUCUUCAUCAAUCCUAGAAUUUUUGUGCUGCUAUCAAGCAUUACUCUUAGCUUUCAGCAUGAAUUUAGAAUGAACAAUUUUUAUCUCAAAACCAUCUCAGGCCACCUUUUGGCCCGACAAAACUUACAUAACAGCUAUGUAUCCUAAUUUUAGGGCCAAACAGGACCCAUUUCUCCCAAAUAUCAUCACAUGUUGGUCGAAUGUCUACUGCCACUCAAAAAGUAGUAGUAGACUUAAAUUGGAAAUCAUAAUUAAGCAAAAUCAGUCUCCCUAAGUUGACUGGUGAACCUAUAUUAAUCAAAUACCCAGCCACCAGAAGAAAUGUGUCCUCACUAGCAUCAACCACAUCAUUCACCACCAAAGUUUUCUAGCCAAAACAGCUCCAGUCAUGUACUCAAUCUUCUCUGGCCAAAACAGCUCCAGUCAUAUACUCAAUCUUAUCGGCCAGCCUUGUCCACUACCAACAGACAUCCUUGUAUUGAUACUCAACCCAAAAUUCAUCCAAACAACAAAUUAGUUUGAACAAUAUGAAUAGCUCCAGACUUCACAUCUGAAUUUGACCAAUUAAAGACACCAAAAAGGGUUAUUGAAAAUAUACUUUGGCUCCCCAUAAAUUCAUUUCCUUCUGAUCUUGAACAGACCCCUCUUAGUUUGAGCUAUUAAAGCUCCAGAGUUAAGAGCCAUUAGAUCAGACUAGAUAAAGGACGCUUCUAGGUUGGAAAAAUUUUGUUCAAACAAAUUGCGUAAUUUCCAUUUCUCAAGGAAAACUUUUCUUCUCAACAUAAUGAGCCUGAUGAGCAGGUUUUUCACUGCAGGUUCUACAUUUUUAGUGGGACUAGACAUGUGAUUGGCAUACACUAGCAUCUGGGUAAGGCAGGCAUGUGAUGCCUCUUUUGCACAUGAGAUUGCCACCAAGGCAUGUGACUUUUUCAUGCCAUAAAGCCGCAUAGACUGGCAUUGGAACCAAAAUGGUACUUUCUAUAUUCUAUACAUGGAAGGACCAAAUUGCAUCAAUUUCAAAGUGGGGGGCUUCAAAAGGACAAACACAACAUGUGAAGGAAUAUUUUUUUUCAAAAAUUAGGAGUUGCCACUCUUUACUGGGUUCUAAGUGUACCAAGUUACUAGUAGAAAGAAAAAAACAGGAAUUAAAUAAUAAAUUGAUUUAAACACGGACCAACAUGCAUUCAGUUAAUUUAAAGGAGAAUUUGAACACUUCGGUAAGCAUGAAAAAUUUAAGAGAAAUAGACGCACAAAAACAUAAAGAGAGAGGUUUUGAUCUUGAGCCUCUGUUGGAAAAUGCUGCAAGAAUAAAGCAUGCAUUCUAUCACAAACAUUCACAUUCACAAUAAUAAAUAUGAAUGAAUAAAUAAAACAAAUAGGCACAAAUGAGUUCCAAAAAUCAGAGAAAACUCAUUAAAGCUAAUGAAUAUCUCCUUUGGAAAAAAAAAGCAUAAAAUUUGACCUUUGUAAACUUAAUAAAAACUUUUAAAACAAACAGCUGAGUAAUCUGAACAUAUGGUCAGCUUCCGGUCCAUAUCCCGGAGAUGGUAGACCCGGUGGAAACUCGUUCAGACUCGGAAGAUUCGGGCAGAGUCGACUCUGGGACUCAAAAGAGCGGCCGAGUCAACCCGCAUGGACUCAUCAGAUAUCCAUGAACGGAGGCUUUCACCAUGAUUUUCAUGGACUUUUAGGGUAUAAACAAAUUAUUAUUAAAAAAAACUUACCCGUGUCCAAUUUAUGAGAAAUUGCACAGAAAGACAGCCAUAAGAAGUCAAUCUCUAACCCAAGAUUCUCUCUUUGAAGACUCUUCACUAAACAGCAAGUGGGUAGCAGAUAUUCAAAAGAAGGAGAAGGAAAAGUAAAAAGGCGAAGAAGACGAGGAAGCUUUCAAUAUCAUAUUCACGGCGGCGGGUGGCUGUGAAUUUUGGAGAAGAGAUGGGAGGGAGGAAAGAAGAACGCACGGGCCCCGUGGCUGCUUUGACCAGAUAGUGCCAAUCUGGUUUGAAGCUGUACAAUGUGAGAAGGGUUAACCGUAAUUUAACCCCUUGAGUUAUAUCUAAUUCCCACUUCACCCCUUAACCUUUAUUCCGUAUCACUUAACUCCUUAGGGACAAAAAUAGCUUCUAUUAUAUAAUUUUUUUCCUUUUUUAUCCCGUUUGUCUUUUUCAUUUUAAAUUAGUUUUAUUUUUGUAAAUUUUUGUUUCUAAGACAAUAUUCUGUAAUAGAAAAUAAGAAUGUCCAUUCUCUAAUUUAUAUAAUUAAAAAACUAUAUAUAUAUAUUUUUUAAAAGUCAAAUUCAUUUAUUUUCCAAUUUAAGAAACCAAGAAAAAAUUUUAUUAUAUUUCCUUGUAAUUACACUAUUCACAGUCAAUUACUCAUUUUUACAAUCACAUAUUCACAUGUCAAUACUAAACAUUUUAUUUGUUAUUUUUCCUAUAAUGAAAUUUUGGUUGGUAAGAUUUUUUUCUAACCAUUUUUUAAAAUUAAUCAAUUGUUAGUGUAUUCCGUAAUAUAUAUAUAUAUAUAUAUAUAUAUAUAUAUAUAUAUACACACACACUCAUCUCAAUUCUUAUGCAAAACUUUACCACCACCAAUUAGAGUGGUCAAAAUUAAAUCAUGGGUUAAAGUUCAAUAAUUUAAGGAAUUAAAAAUUUUGAAAAUAAAAGCUUAGUAUAAUAGAGGAGUAUUUUUGUCUUUAAGGGGAUUAAGUAAUAAAGAUUAGAGGUAAAAUUGAAAAUUCCGAUAUACUUAAGGGGAUAAAUUGUCAUUAACCCAAGUAAAAAUGAUAAAGAGAUAAUUUCAAAAAACCUUUCUCUGAUGUAUCUUUUAGAACCAUUGAAUUUUAAAAAAUGUCAUUUAUCUCCCCUACUUUGGAUAUUUUUUCAACUUUUGCAACAAGAUUCAAAAAAUAAUGUUAAAAAAACUCAUUUUAGAAGAGAGAGGAUAAUCUGAUUCUAAAUUUACAUUUUUUUUGUGGACACUUAAUUGUCAUAACAUAUUAAUUUCAUUUCUUAAUUUUUGUAAAUUUGGUUAAUAUGGUUCAUUAAUUGAAAUUCAAAAGUUAAUAGCAGGACCCUUUAAUAGCUUUUUAUAUCAUUGGUUUGGAAAAGAAAUAUUAAGAUAUUUAAAUUAUAAAUAGUUUACAAUACUUGUAAAAAUAACUUGAAAUAUUUUAUAAUAAUGAAAAUAACUUUUGUUACCAACUUGAAAACGUCACAAACUGUAAGGCCCGAAAAUAACUUAAGAGGGGGUGAAUUAGGUUGAUUAUAAAACUAAUCAAGUUAUGGGCACUUUUUGUUCAAUAUGAAAUUUACCCUCUUUUCUAAGUGAUCAUACAAUGAAUCAAUCAAUGAAUGAACAAAAUGUGAUGACCCAAAAUUUUUAUUAUUUUAAUUUUAUUUCACUGGUUUAUUUAAUUAUUUAUUCACCCGUUUAUCCCAAAUAAUUUAUUUCAUCCGUUUUAAGUCCAUUUGUAUGCAAAAAUGUCCCUUUUAUAAUUUUAAAACGUUUCGUUAGCAAAUUUAAUUUUUCUACGACUCAUUUAGCGAGAAAUAAUGAGUACACAUUUUUCGAGGUUAUAUUCGAUCUAAGAGUACAUUAAUCUUGGAAAAUUAAGAAUGAUUAAUAGUAGACUAAGAAAAGUUAAUUGAGGGAUUAGAUGUGAGUUAGUUAAAAUUAAACUUUUACUGCGCGCGCGUCAAUAGUUUCCCGAAAGUCGCUCCGGUACGACUAAUUAGAGAUUUGAGGAUUUAACAUUAGACUACUAAGGGUGAGUAAUUACCAUAUUAAAGGAGUUACAUUGGAGGUUUAGUACUCAAGUGAAUCAAAUUCGAGAGAAAGUGGUAGUACAAAACACCAUUUGGGCACUAUUAAGAGUUGACGUUUUGCACCAAACUUAAAGCUACUAUUUCAUUCUUUCCCUCCAACUUUCAUCACACAAACAAACCCUCAUCUCUCUCUCCUCACUCCCUCAUUUUCGGCCAGACCAACAAGAAAGAAAAAGGGAAGGAAAAACUUCAUUUGUUUAGCUUGAUUUCACUCACCAAACCUCCACCAAAUCGUAAAUAACUUGGAGUAACACUUCAUCUAGGAGUAAGGAGCAAUCUUGAGGACUUUUCCUGGAGAGUUUCGGCUAAAAAUUUCUGGUUUCAUCUUAAGUUUUGAAGGUAUAAACACCUCCACCAAAGCUUUUACUUUCUUGUUUCAUUUCUUGGUUUUGAAGCUUGUAGCUUCCUUAUUGUUGUUGUUGCUUGGAUUUGGUUGGUUGAAGUGGGCUCUAUAAACUCCCACCUUAGUUAUAUGAGGGCUGCCAUGAUGUUUAUGUGUGUGUUAGUGUGUUUGUGAUGAGUUUUAAUGGAAGAACUAGAAGAGGAAAAAGAAAGAGAGAAAACCGUGAGAGGAAGCAAGAUGGCCGAAUCUGCCCUGUUGUUGUUCUUGCUUGAAUUUUGAUUUUUUGUUGGUUUUUUGGCUGUGAAAUUGGUUGAUAUAUGUUGUAUAUUGUGUGUUGAAAGUGUCUACCAAAAAUCAUUUUAUUUGGUUGAGCAAAACUAGAAUUUUCGAAACUGCAAAAAAUCUGGAAAUGGUCAUCCGAAGGCCUGAACAGUGUAUCUUUGAUUGAACAUAACUCUUUGUACAAAAGUCAAAAUCGAGUGUCAUUUGUGGCAUUUGAAACUAGACAUCUGUAGUUUUCUAACGGUAUAAAAAUCACUGUCUAGUUCGUUUUGUGUGAACUGCAAUGAACUGAUAAAGUCGGCUGUUCUGUUCAGCCUGUUCAUUCGAAUGGAAAUGAGAAGCUGUAACUUAUGGCUUGAAUUUGAACUACUUUUGAACUGAUUUUGGAAAUGAUUUCUUCUGAUGAAAUGUGGAAUUUUGAACCUAGUUUUCAACGCCACCAACAUUCUCAAUUUCAAGUUGUAUUGAGUGAGAUAUGGUUCAAUUUCCAAACCGUGGCAAAACUGGAAAACUGGAAAACUUUUCCUUCUUGCUGGCCGACUGGUCUAGUUUGUUGUGGGAGGUUUUAUUUCGAAAAUUUUGAUGUCAAUUACCCACCAAUUGCUUAUCAAAUUUUUAUGGAACCUUGGUUUAAAAAAUGAAGUGGAUUGGGACUGAUUUCAUGGUACUAAGCUUUUGGAAAGAAAGAAAAUGGUGAGAUGGCAGAUUUGCUUUGGGAAUUUCACGAACUUUGAUUAUUUUGUUAACUGCCUUCCCACAUGAGUUUUCACAUGAAAUUUUGGUAGAGAUAUAGUUAACAUAUGGAAGAUUUAGUGUACCAAAUUUGGUGUAUUUUCAAUGCCAUUUCAAUGGCUAAAUGAUACUUCAAAGAUAGCUUUUCAAAUCUGGAAAAUGACUGAACAGUUAGCAAAAUGUGACCAACUUUGAACUGAUGUAUCUCGAUGCUCGAAACUCCGAAUUUAGUUUUGUUUGUUGUGUUUGAAACUUUGUUUAGAACUCUUAUUGUGUUACAAAUUUCAGAGGCUAGUUCACUUUCUGUGAAUUUUACCGAAUUUCCAAAGUUUGCCAAAAAACAUGACCGAAACUGUCUUGUAAGCUCAAGUCAGCCACUUUGAGAUGAAAUUUGAAUGUCUUCCGUUUAGAAUCUUAGAAAAGUGUUUUCUAGGAACUUUUAGUACUCUAAACCAAGAUUCCAACAGUAUAAAGUUUUCCAUUUUUGGACUUACGAAACUCUAGAUACGAUUUUUCAAAAUAAUGUCCCUCUAGAAUGGAAAAUUUCUGUUUUCAACCAAAUUACUCCUUUAAGAACUUUCCACCAUCCUUUGUGAUUGUUGGACUGUUUUAAGUUUUUUUUCAUGGUUUAAUACAAGGUCUCUUUGGAACUUUGAACUUUCAUUUCAAAUCUUGGUUUCCGAAGGAUAAACCUCUCUUGAUGCAUUUACUUGGUCAUAUAACUCCCUUGGUUAAUGGUACUUCUCUUCAUAUUUAAAUUAGGGACUUCAUGAUACGUAUCUCGUUGGUGACGAAGAUUCGCGACCCAAGAUCGCUUGUUGGAUUUGUGAUUGACGACCAAGGAAGGUAGCAGUGGAAACCCUACGACCCCUCUAAUCCCCGUGACUACGAACUUAUUGAUAUUAUCUCAACCCGUAAUCAAACGAAUUAGUGAACCUCAGGAAAGUGUAGAAGGCGCCACAACUCAAGUGUGAUUCUUGAAGUGAUAAGCCAACAAGAACACUAGAGUAUAACUCUAAGUUGUUCAAGGGAUACUCGAAAGCUAUAGAGAAAAUUAUCUCACUUGAUUUAUGAUAAAAGUGUCUUCCCUUUUAUUGAUGUAUUAUGGCCCCUUAUAUAGGGUACAAGUAGUACCUAAUCUGAUAAGGAAAGUAAAGCUAAAGGUACGGCUGGUAUGGGUCCUAACUAGUGAAGGAAACGGAAAUGGAAACGAUGGCCUCAACCCUCAACAGAUAGGGCUUCAUGCGGGCUUUCCUUCCUAGGCAACCCACCUUAACAUAUAGUGAUGAACAAAAUAGCAAUCCUACUCUUGGCGAUUCUAUGUGCAACAUGCACUUAGCCAAUUAUUCAACCUAAUCAAACUAACACGUAAAUAAAUGAAACUAUUGUAAUAGGAAACGAGGUUUGGCAAAACCCUAAACCUCUGGUAUAGCUUCAAUGCUCAAUACCGGACCUCGAUCACCUUCACUGGAGUGUAUGAAUCCCUCAAAGGACUUGUGUAUGGCCUGUACAAGUACAUUGAGUUGCUCACGAAAUCUCUUUGCACGAGCCCUAGUGAUGGGCCCGUUUGGAGCUUGCACGCGGUCCUCGGCCCCUCGAUCACUCGAGCCAUUGUUGGCGUGCCCAUGUACUAUGAUGCUAUCAUUCCCCUCCUCUUGAGAAGGAUUUGCCCUCAAAUCAAAAGCUUCAUCUGCAUCAAAAGAAGCUAGGUCAGAGACAUUAAAUGUAGCACUAACUCCAUACUCACCUGGAAGAUUAAGUUUGUAAGCGUUGUCAUUAAUGCGCUCCAACACUUGAAAAGGUCCAUCACCCCGUGGUUGUAGUUUAUUUCGCCUUUGCAUAGGGAAACGUUCCUUGCGCAUGUGCAACCACACCCAAUCGCCAGGUUCGAAAGUCAGUUUUUGGCGACCUUUGUUAGCUUGCUUGACAUAUUGAGCAGUUCUCCUCUCAAUGUUGGCCCUGACUUUCUCAUGAAGUUGCUUAACAAAAUCUACACGUUUCUUACCAUCCAAGUGUGCGCGCUCAUUACUAGGUAAUGGCACUAGAUCAAGAGGUAUUAGAUGAUUAAAACCAUAAACACAUUCAAAUGGAAAGAAACCAGUAGUAGAAUGGACAGCCCUAUUAUAAGCAAACUCAACAUGAGGUAAACAUUCUUUCCAUGUUUUCAAGUUCUUUUUUAUGAUGGCACGCAACAAGGUACCUAAUGUACGAUUCACCACCUCAGUUUGACCAUCAGUUUGGGGGUGGCUAGCAGUAGAGAAUAGCAAUUUGGUGCCUAACUUAGACCAGAGUGUCUUCCAAAAAUAGUUGAGAAAUUUGACAUCUCUAUCAGGAACAAUGGUCCUAGGAAUGUCAUGCAGUCGCACAAUCUCUUUAAAGAACAAGUGAGCAAUAUGGGAUGCAUCAUCCGUUUUGUGACAAGCAAUGAAGUGUGCCAUCUUAGAGAAUCUAUCAACUACCACAUAAAUGGAGUCAUGGCCAAACUUGGAUCUAGGCAACCCGAGUAUAAAAUCCAUAGAAAUGUCAAUCCAUGGUACUCUAGAAAUAGGUAAUGGGGUGUAAAGGCCAUAAGGGUGUACCUUGGAUUUAACUCUCUUACACGCUAAGCAGCGCUCCACCACCCGUGCAACAUCUCUCCUCAUGUGCAGCCAAUAGAAAUGUUCCUGCAGCAUGGCAAGAGUUUUAUCAACCCCAAAGUGCCCUAUAAGUCCACCCGAAUGGGAUUCCCUUACCAAAAGCUCACGGAUUGAUCCAUGUGGGAUGCAAAGCCGAUUGGCACAGAACAAGUACCCAUCAGAAAUGAAGAACUUAUCUUGCCCGGUGUGUUUGCAAGAAAUGUAUAGCUCAUCGAAGUCACUAUCUUAUGCAUAGAGCUCUUUAAUUAGCUCAAAUCCCAACAACUUAACAUCUAAAGAAGUGAUUAGACAGUACCUUCGUGAGAGUGCAUCCACGAUCACAUUGGACUUACCAGCCUUGUAUUUAAUAACGUACGGAAAUGGCUCCACGAAUGCAAUCCACCUUGCAUGCUUCUUGCUCAAGUUGUGUUGGGCCUUAAGGUACUUAAGGGACUCAUGAUCAGUGUGUAUCACGAAUUCCUUAGGCCUUAAGUAAUGCUACCACACUUGUAGUGCUCGAAUGAGGACAUACAACUCUUUAUCAUAAGUUGAGUAAUUCAGUGCAGCCCAUUGAGUUUCUCACUAAAGUAGGCAAUAGGUUGUUCACCUUGGUUCAACACAGCUCCAACUCCAAUACCUGAAGCAUCACAAUCGAUCUCAAAUGUUUUAGAGAAAUCAGGUAACGCAAGUACAGGUGCGUGUGUGAGUUUGUGCUUUAAAGCGGUAAAAGCCUUUUCUUGAGAAUCUCCCCAGCGAAAAUUCUCAUUCUUCUUGAUCAAUUCGGCCAAGGGUGUAGUAAUGGUGCUAAAGUCCCUCACGAAUCUCCUAUAAAAACCCGCAACUCCAUGGAAACUUCAAACAUCACCCACAGACCUUGGUGUUGGCCACUCUUGAAUAGCUUUCACCUUUUGAUCAUCCACCUUCAUUCCCUGCGCACUUAUAACAAACCCUAGAAACACAAGCUCAUUAGAGCAAAAAUUGCACUUCUUGAGAUUGACAUAAAGCUUCUCUCAUUGAAGUACAUCCAUAACCGCCCUAAUAUGCUCAAGGUGUUCAUCGUAAGACUUGCUAUAUAUUAGGAUAUCAUCAAAGUAAAUUACCACAAAUUUUCCCAAGAAUGGACGUAGCACAUGAUUCAUUAAUCUCAUGAAAGUAUUAGGUGCAUUAGUGAGCCCAAAAGGCAUCACUAACCAUUCAUACAAUCCAUACUUAGUUUCGAAAGUAGUUUUCCAUUCAUCCCCCUCUUUAAUCCUAAGUUGAUGGUACCCACUUUUGACAUCAAUUUUGGUAAAGAACACAGUCCCAUGUAACUCAUCAAGCAUAUAAUCUAAGCGAGGUAUAGGGUGACGAUACUUUACCAUGAUGGCAUUUACAGCUCUACAGUCGGUACACAUCCUUCACGUACCAUCUUUCUUAGGCACUAAAAUGACUGGGACAGCAUACGAGCUCAAACUCUCACGUGCCCAUCCCUUGCCAAGCAACUCAUCCACUUGCCUUUGCAACUCCUUGGUCUUCUCCGGGUUGCUCUUGUAAGUUGGUCGGUUUGGCAAUGAAACUCCAGGGAUGAAAUCAAUUUGAUGCUCAAUGUCUCGGAGUGGGGGCAAUCCACUUGGCACAUCCUCGGGGAAGAUAUCCGCAUACUCCUGCAGAAGAGACACAACCUCAGGAGGUAUGUUAGUAUCAAGUUCAUGCACCUUCAGAGCUACUUCUUUGCUAACAAGCAUAAGAAGCGGCUGCUCAUCUCUCAUUAACUUCCUCACUAUCUUGGCUUUUAUCAGAAGCAUUUGUUUUCUCUCGGAUUUCACCUCACUUGCCAAGCUAUCUAUAGCCUUUUUCAUCUCUUUUUUUGCCCUGGCGCUCACGUUUUCUUUCUUUUUUGCACAAUACUUCUCAUACUGUUGUUGCAAUUUCAAUUGGUUUUCAUGCACUUGUUUUGGGGAAAGGGGAGCUAGGGUGACUUUCUUACUAUUGUACAAGAACCUAUACUUGUUAGUCACACAAUCAAAAGUUACAUGCCUGUCAAACUGCCACGGCCUACCUAGUAUAAUAUGACUAGCUUGCAUAGGAACUAUGUCACAUAAUACAUCAUCAGAAUAUUUAUGAAUUUGGAAGGAUAUAAGAACCUGUUUGGUUACUCGAACCUCCCCAGAAUUGUUGAGCCACUAGAGUUUGUAGGGUCGCGGGUGAUCCCUUGUAGGCAGUUUCAAGUGGUCCACCAUGAGUGAACUAGCUACAUUUGUGCAACUCCUACUAUCAAUAAUCACACUACAAAGUGCUUGGUUGACGAAGCACCUGGUGUAGAAAAUGUUCUCCCGUUGAAGCUUUUCCUCCUUAACACGUGUAGUUAAUGCUCUCCUUGCAACCAAUGCGGUCCCAAAGUGACCUUCGGGUGCAUUAAAUUCCUCUUUAUUUGGUGACUCGCUAUCACUACCUCCUUCAAGUGGUGGCAUGCCAUCGUACUCGGCUUCAUCUUCACUCACGAUCUCGCCAUUUUGCAGCAUAAUCAUAGUCCUUUGGUUGGAGCAUUGACUAGCGAUAUGGCCUCUACCAUGGCAUUUGAAGCAUCGAGUAUCACGAGCUCUAGUUUGUGCCCUAGGCUCCUCAAAUUUCGGAAUAGAAGAGGGUGGUUUUCCGACAUUAGAAUGACCCAUUUACCUCCCUUGAAUCUCGGCUUUGGUGUAGGAGCAUUUGGUGAAGGCCGAGAAUCAUUCCUUGGUUGGAAUGAGCGGUGGGUAGAGUAGGUGGUAUUGCUGAAAUUCGGCCGAGUAGUACCCCUCCUCUUGAGCCUGUGUUCGACCUUAAUGGCCUUGUCAACAAGCUCAUACAAUUCCAUAUAAUGUUGAAGUUCCACUCGUUCAGCAAUAUCGGGUCUUAACCCGUUCAAGAACCUGGCCAUGGUGGCUUCGGGAUCCUCUUGUACAUCUGCUCUAAGCAUCAAGAUCUCCAUCUCCUUAUGGUACUCAUCCACACCCCAGUUGCCUUGGACUAAGGUUUGUAAUCCGUAGUACAAAUCCCUAGUGUAGUGUCCAGGAACAAAUCUGGUGCGCAUCAUGGUUUGAAGUUCGGGCCAUGGAAUGAGCUCGGGUAGCCCGCUUCUCCUUCUUGACUUCUUGAUUUGGUCCCACCAAACCACGGCGUACUCGGUGAAUUCCAUGGUUCCCAAUUGCACCUUUUGCUCCUCGGUGUAGUCUUGGCAAGCAAAGACCAUUUCGAUCUUGGAUAAUCAUUCGAGAAAGGCCUCGGGAUCGGACCGUCCUUUGAAUUCAGGGAUUUUCAUUUUGAUUCCCUUGAACACAUCGGUAGGUCCAGUCUGGUGCCUUUGCCUUGGUCGAGUGCGAGGUUCCUCGUCGUCAUCAUCAUGAUUGGAACCAUCGGACUCCUCCACGUCCCUUCGCCUUCGCGUGGACUUAGAAGUUUUUGGUGUUCUAGAUGCCCGGAAUUGCAGCAACUCAUCUUGAAUUGGUUCUAGCAUGCGUUGGAAAUGCCUCUCCAUUUUCUCCAUCAUCUUGUCAAAGUCCAUAGGGCGGGAUACUCCUUCGUUUCCACUAGACAUGGAGUCUCGAGUGUACCUGCAAGGGUUAGUAGCAAAGAAAAAGGAAAAAGGAAAAGAAGCGUUUGUCUUAUUUUUUUUUCACCUUACUCCCUAAGUGUAUACUCUCACACUCGUAUAUGGUUACUCAGAUCACUCUAAUGAGCCCCUUGCAAAUUUUCUCACAGCCCCUUGCAAAACCUUGAAGAAAUUAGAAUUCCUCAAGUGCUCAAAUUUAGCUUAAAAAAAACAAGUUCAUGCUAGAAUUUGAGGUUCAUAAGAGUGGAGAUUUUCUUGAAAAACAAAAUUAGAACACUAAGAAUGGAGUGGUAGAAUAUAUUCAAGAAUAAGAAUUAGAAAAAGAAUUGACACAGAAGCUCCAAAAAAUUCAGAAUGACACUCAAGGACCCUAACCGACAAGGAAGUUGGUCCUUGUGCCUUGCUAGAUUUCUUGGUCCGUUUAAUUCUUGUUCUAGCCGACUAUAGGUGCUGGAUCCUUUUGUUUUGCAGAGGUGCGGAUAAAGCCUAGGUGCCAAUAUGGGCAAGUGGGGGCUACAAAUCAGGAAGCAAGAAGAAUUUGGAAUCCCUUUGGUUUUAGAGACCAAUCAGGUUUGGAAGUCCUAUAGCGGCUGUUCCCUCUUUCUUUUCUAGAUGUGCAGCCGAGUGGGUUCCUCUUCCCAAGUGUUUUAGGAGUGCACAAAGGCUGGGAUAUUUGGUGAAUUAAAUUCAGCUCUCUCUCUGGCUGUUCAACUCACAAGCGUCAAACACCACAAUCCGGAUGAAGUUGCAAAACCCAGGUGAUACUCAAGUUCCUCCACGGGCUCCCCCCCUUCGCGUUACCCAAAAACCUCCCAAGAAAAGUUCAAGAGCUCCUCGAAGACCCUUUACAGAUGCUCGAGAGUAUUUCAAGUUGUUCAAGAAGCGCAAGGCUCAAGUUUUCAAGGGUCAAGAAUCUCAAGAAACUCAAGAAGUUGUUGAUCAGAAUUUUUGAAUGUAGAAUAGGCUCAAUGUAACCUGCAAGUGAUUCCCAACAACGCUCUAGUUGCUUGUUUGAGUUUCCCAAUUCAAUAAAAGUAUUCAAGCACCCUUUGUUUCGAAAUUUGCUUGCUUUUUUUUUUUUUUACAGCAGCAACUUCGGAUGAACGAAGGCUUGGGUUAUCAAUUUUUUUCCAGGACUGUGUCGAGUUUUGUCCAGGUCUGUUUUGGUGGAUUUUUUUGCAAUUGGGUAGGCUAGGUUUGGUUCACAAAUGGGUCAAGAAUGGCUCCAGGUAUCGACCAGCCUUUAACAAUCAAGAAUUGUAAAUCAAACACAAAAAUAUCCAGCAAAGAACUUCAGGAAGUUCGCUGCAAUUUCUAGAUUUCAGAGUGUCAAGAAUCUCUUCAAGAACUUCAAGAAAUCGUGAAGUUUGCUUACGAAGUUCAAGAACAAGGUACCAAUACUUUCCUAGACAAUGAACAACUAAGACACAGAGCACAAACAAUUAAGAGACAACUCGGUCAGAUUGGUCAGUGCAAGAAAACAAUGUCAAGUGUGGCAAAGACAGCAAUCCGAAUGACUCUAUGUCUUGUUGUACGACUUGGACACAACUUUCAACACCGUUGGACACCUUGGUUUGUUGGACCCAAGCGGUGGAAGUAACGUCAGCAAGACACGACCAGAUUUAACACACAAGACUCAAUAGGAAUUGGCAAUAAUAGGACACGGACAGAUUGCACAAGAUUCAAUAGAAACAGCAAUACGGGCGCGACACUAAGAACACUAGUAGUUUGGUUUUGUUUGUUUUUUUUUUUAGUUAACAAAUGAUGGAAUCACACACCACCAAACCCAAACACAACACACUUGACUCCCAGAAAUUCCAGAAGUCAAAACGACAACAAGACAGACUUAAAAACACGCUGACCAGAAUUGAAAGCAACACGGAAAAACUUGUGGACAGUUUGCAGUUGUGGAAACAGAAUUUUAACUAACGAGAAGGAUAAAACGAUGUUACCAACAAUUUAGCUCUGAUGCCAGCUGAUACGAAUCUCAUUGGUGACGAAGAUUCGCGACCCAAGAUCGCUUGUUGAAUUUGUGAUUGACGACCAAGGAAGGUAGCAGCGAAAACCCUACGACCCCUCUAAUCCCCGUGACUACGAACUUGUUGAUAUUAUCUCAACCCAUAAUCAAACGAAUUAGUGAACCUCAGACAAGUGUAGAAGGCGCCACAACUCAAGUGUGAUAAGCCAACAAGAACACUAGAGUAUAACUCUAAGUUGUUCAAGGGAUGCUCGAAAGUUAUAGAGAAAAUUAUCUCACUUGAUUUAUGAUAAAAGUGUCUUCCCUUUUAUUGAUGUAUUAUGACCCCUUAUAUAGGGUACAAGUAAUACCUAAUCUGAUAAGGAAAGUAAAGCUAAAGGUACGGCUAGUAUGGGCCCUAACUAGUGAAGGAAACGGAAAAGGAAACGACGGCCUCAACCUUCGACGGAUAGGGCUUCAUGCGGGCUUUCCUUCCUAGGCAGCCCACCUUAACAUAUAGUCAUGAACAAAAUAGCAAUCCUACUCUUGGCAAUUCUAUGUGCAACAUGCACUUAGCCAAUUAUUCAACCUAAUCAAACAACACGUAAAUAAAUGAAACUACUAAAAUGGGAAACGAGGUUUGGCAAAACCCUAAACCUGUGGUAUAGCUUCAAUGCUCAAUACCGGACCUCAAUCACCUUCAUUGGAGUGUAUAAAUCCCUCAAAGGACUUGUGUAUGGCCUGUACAAGUACAUUGAGUUGCUCACGAAAUCUCUUUGCACGAGCCCUAGUGAUGGGCCCGUUUGGAGCUUGCACGCGGUCGUCGGCCCCUCGAUCACUUGAGCCAUUGUUGGCAUGCCCACGUAAUAUGAUGCUAUCACUUCAACCCCUAUUCUUAUGGCCUUGGUAAUUGUACUAGAGUUGGCAAUCAUACAAGUAUUUUAAAAGAAUGAUUUGAAAGGUUUCUUGUGAACGUAAUUAGUAACACUCGGAAUGUUUUGGCCGAGCUUCCAAGUAAAAAUGUGUUUAUCUUUUUUAUUUGAAAGCCAAAGUUUCUAUCGCCAUAGUCUCUUGAGUAUACGCCCUCGAUUUAAUCGUUGAAAAUGGAUGUUGAGUGAGACUUUAAUUAAAAGAGAACUUGAGAAUUUUACUUGAUUUAUGGGUACAACUUGAAUUGGUGACUAAAGAAGUUAGUGGGCCGUUAGUGGCGGUUUUACUAGACUUUAACUAAAUGAGUUUGAAAAAUGAGAAAAGCUCACUUAUACUUGAAACUUGGGUGUUCAACUAGGGAAUUUUGACAAGAAACUAAUCCUCCGUCUUUCUUGGUUUUCGUGCCAAAACUUAGAGAUCUGUUUAAUCUUCAACUUGGAGAAUUUUGGACAUGACUUGACUUGGAUUAAUAUAUUUUUGGAUAUUUUCAAAUGCUACCCUCGUGGAUUAAGUUAUUAAGUGAUAUUUGUAUUCGAUUUGAACGCGUUAUCUCUUAAGUGAGAGUAGCGGGAAUACUACUAGACCUUGGUUGAAUACCUAGGUGAAUUGUAAUUGUACAUGUCUCAGGUGAUCAAGAGGAUCCCGAGGAACUCGUUUGAUCUUGCCUCGCUCUUGUUUUACACUCUUGAUUCCAGUGAGUGCUCCUUAUAGGUGUACGUGAUUUGAAUAGUUUUGCUACAUGUUUACUUCAUAGUUAUUGUGUACUUAAGUGUUAAGUGUACCCUAUAAUUGCUCUUAUGUAACUGUCCACCGUUUUAAGGCGAGUGUGUACUUUAUCUCAUUCGACCUACUAAAAUGACAAAUUUCUAUCGUUUAACCGUAAAUUUCUACUGUUAACCGUGAACUACUAUCGUUUACCGAUUUACUUGAUUACUUACGCAUGUUGUAAGCUCUAAGUUGAACUGGAUCUUGCCCUUGGUUACUAACCUGCUCAAGUCAGGACUGGGCUCGGUCGGGUAGGUUGGAACCCUGGGCCACCGUUUCGGUAUACUUGAGUAUUACCACUGGAGGGAUAAGGUGAUAGCCAGACAAAUCAAGGGGAUCACUGGAGUUAUAAGGUGAAGUGGACUAAAAUUGUUCCAAGUGAACACCGUAUCCUUUCAAUGUGUGUUUAUUUCUAUACAAUGAUAACUGUUUCAUUCUAAUGUGCCAAUGUGAAACCUUGAACCAUACAUGUGUUAUGCUCAAUUUACUUGAUUUAUUAGAACUGCUAGUGUAGUUUGGAACCUCACUGGGCUGUUUAACUCAUUUCACGCUUUUGUUUUCCUUAACAGGGUUCAAAAUCGAGAGUACUCGCUAAUAGUACUAAGUUGUUCUCUUGGAAAUUUUAAGUUGUAUUAUGGCAGAUGACUGUAGUACAUAUUGUGAGGAUCCGAAAAUUUUCUUAUUUUCGUCAUAUAUUACUGAUUUAUUUAAAUAGUUAUUCACUCAUUUUCUCCGAAUUAUUUAAUUCGACUACUUAAAAUCCAUUUAUAUGGAAAAAAUGCCUCUCUUAUGUUUUUAAAGCGUUUUGUUAGAAAAUUUAUUUUUCGAAAACUCGUUUAGUUCGGAACAACGAGUGCACGUUUCUCGAGACUAUAUUUGAAUCGAGAGUGUAUUAAUUUUGGAGAAGUAAGAAUGAUCAAUAGUAGAUUAAGAAAAAUUAAUUGGAGAUUUGAGGAAUUAAAACUCGACUUAUGUGAGGACUCGCAAAAUUUUCUAUUUUAAACCCUUAUUACUAGCUUAUUUCAAUCUUUAAUUGCCCGUUUGCCUCGAAUAUUUUAUUUCAACCUCUUUAUACUCAAUUACAUGGAACUAUGACUUAGUUAUAUUUUUAAAGUAACUCGUUUCAAAAUUUAAUUUUUGGAAGCUCAUUAAUUGAAAAUAGUGAAUACGCGAUUGGAGUCAAUAAUCGAUUCGUGUAUACAAUAAACUUGGAAAAUUAGAGACUUGCAGCAUGGGCUAAAGAUAGGUAUUUUAAGUUUAAAUACUCAAGUGAUAGUUAUUAGUACUAUCGUUAUAAGAAUUUCUUGGAAGUUUCGCUUUAUCGCGCUUAAUUUGGAGAUACGUGUUUUUAUACGCGCGAUUUAAUUGAGGGACUUUAGACCCUUAUUUUGGGACAAUUAAGAGUGAAUAAUAUUAAUAUGUAUAUGAGUGCAUUAAAGGUUUAGUGCACUAGUGAAAUAAACUCGAGAGGAAUCGAGCACAAAACGCGCGCGUAUACGCGCGAAGAAGAGUUGACUUUUGCACCAACUUGGGCCACACAUUAAAGGUUCUUAAGAAAGCUUUAUUUGAUCAACACACACUCUCUCUCCUAGUCUCUCUUGGCCGGCCAUCAAGCAGCAAAAAUAACCCAUUUGCUCUUCAACUUUCUACUCCAAAUUCUUGCACCAAAUCUCAACCAAAUCAAACCAAAAUUGAACUACACUUAGCCUAAUACUUGGAGAUUGUAUCUAGCUAAAAAGGGGGAGCUUUUCACGGUUUAUUUUGAAGCAAGGAGGGCCAAAAUUUCUUCUCUUGUGCACCAAGUGGAAUAGGUAACGAUCAACUCUCAAAUUCUUGUUUUAUGGAAGUAGUAAUGCACAUCUAAGCUAUUGUAUGCAUGUGGGCAGUCUUGUUUAUGGUGGAUUCUUGUUGUGUGGGCUCUAUGAACUCCCACUUUUGAUGGAAAGACUGAUUUAAUGAUUGAUGAUGAAAUUAAUGGUGGUUUAGUGCUUAAAUUAGUGGAUUAAUGUUGUAUUGUUGGUAGAAAAUCAAAGGAGGUGCUUGGAGCAAAAGUGACCGUUUUACCCCUGCCUUGUUCGACCACUUUUGUGCAAAAUUUUGAGGUUCUAAUGGCUUUUUUAUGUUGUUUACAUGUUAUAUAGAGUGUGUAAAAAGUUUCAUUGAAAAAUAACUUGAUUUGGUCACCCAAAUGUUGGAUUUACGAAAGCUUAGAAAUCUGGAAACUAUUCCCGUAUUCAUCCAGGCAGUGUUUUUGUUUCCGCUAUAACUCAUCGCUCCGAUGUCGGAAUCAAGUGUCGUUUGCGGCACUGGAAACUAGACAUUCCCAGAUUUCAUUUGGUAUAAAAUUCACGUUCUGGUUCCACUCGAGUGAGCCAAACCAUUCGUUUGAAAAUUUCUGUCCUGUUUCGUUUGUCACUGGGAGGCAGAUUAUGAACUGCGAUUUGAUGCUCACGUAUGAGCUGGUUAUGGACAGAUUUUGAAAAUGGUUUCUUCUGAAAGAAUGUAGCCUUAUGAAUCUAUCUUCCAAUGCCACCAACCACGCUCAAUUCCGAGUUGAAUUGAGUGAUUUAUGAUCAAAAUUCGAAACUGGUUUUGUGAAGGAAAACCAUGCAUUUGGACAGAUUUGAAACUAGCGAUGCUUUGGGACUUGUUAUCGGAAACUUCUUGGUGUAAAUCCCCUAUCAAAUGUACCUUGGGCAUAUUUUAGACAUUAUCUACUGGAAUGGACCAUAUUUGAGAUGUUUCUUGGCCGACUGUUUGAAAACGGCAAAACGAAAGUUCAAAGGCAGCUUAGCCUUAGAACUUCUUGUGAUUUCAACGGUCUCGUUAACUGAUUUUCCGUACAUAUUUUUCUAUGAAAUUUGGCAAGGGAGUGGCCAUUAUAUGGUAGUAUAUUCAUCCUAAAUUUGGUGCCAUUUCGAGUCCAUUUCGUUGCUCAACUAAACUUCCAAAGUUCAUGAUUUGAGUUGAAAAUUUUAGUAACUUUGAGUUACCAUAUCUUGGUGCUCAAAACUCCGAAUCUUGUUCCGUUUGUUUUGUUUUAAACUUGGAUUGAAACUCUAAUAGUGCUCCAAAUUUCAGAGGUUAGUUCGGAUCAAGUGAAUUUUGUCAAAUUUUCAAAGUUGGCCAAACACCAACCUAAAUCUGUCUUUAAUGCCCCAGAACAGCAAUUUUGAGCUAAAUUUUGGAUAUCUUCCGUUUGGAAUCAUGGAAAAUUGUCUUCUAAGAACUUUUAGUACUUUUUAAGAGGUUUCCAACGGUACCAAGUUUUCCAAUUCUGGACUUAUAGAGAAUGAGAUACGUUUUUUCAAAGUAUGGGUGACAAAUCUGAUAUUUUUGAACUUAAAGGAAAUUGAGGGUUACGAACUCUCUAUUUUCCUUCAAUAUUGCUAAACCGUUUUACACUUGAUUUCAAAAUGAAAAUCAGAUUUCACUUGUGUUUUAAAACCCCAUUUUUGAGUCUCGAUUUACGAGUAAUUAAGGCUCAUUUUCGUGAAAUUUUCUUAGAUUGUACAAGUGUGCAAUCUUCCUUGAUAAUUAGGGGUUUUAAGCGAUAGUGUGUAAUAGACAAUUACUAUUUGCUCAGUUGCUCAAGGAGACCUUCAAGAGGAUCUCGAGGGGAACACCUAAAGGCUCGUCUAUGCACUUACUCCCUUGUUUCGAUUGGUGAGUGUCAAGUGCAUGAAUUUGUUGCUAAGUGAUUAACUGUUUCUUAUCCGUUAUAUGAAUUUGAACUUUGUGAGACGAAUGUGUACUUUCCCGCACUCGUUCUCCUUCAAAUGAAAUUAUAUUCGUAUUUGGCUAUGUGAAUUCAUAUUCGACUUGUACUUAGUAAUGUGGAUAUGAUUCGUAUUUGUGAUUCGUAUAUGUGAUUCGUAUUUGUGAUUGCUAUUUGGAAUCGUCGAUUUGAGUGUUGCUCAUCGACUUAUAUUCGCAUUCGUAUUCGUAUUCGGGGGACGCCCAAACUCGUUGGCUAAUUUUGCAAAUCGAGCCAGCAUGGGUUUGGUCAAUAAGCUUAGCAAACCAUGAGAUAUUCGUAGAGCAUGAUCUAUUGGAGAGAUCUUGCUCGGCAUUACUCGUGCAGUAUUGUCAUGAUAUACUCGAGUAUUAUCAAAAAAUUUGAUGAGCGGGUCCGGUAAGGGGGUGUAACGGUGAUGGGAUUCGAAGAAAAGUGGUGUAUCUACGGAUUUGAUACUUAUGUGGUUGACGAAGUGUCAACAUGAAUUGUGAUCAAGACUUUGACUCGACUACGUGGAAUUUAACUCCUGAGAGCUACAGUAUCCUUGAACUGUUUCUGUUUAUUUUUCCUAUUCGAAAUGUGAAUUAUUCGAACUUGAUAGCUUUACUUACAAUGUAAUUGUUGUUACUUCUUGGAUUAUGUGUUUGCAUGUGUGUUUCUUGGCCUCACUGAGUAUUGGCUCAUCCCAUUAGUUUGUUUUCCUUAACAGGAACUCGUUUGGAAGGAGUUAAGCAAAUGCUGACUUGAGGCACUUUUGUAUUAGUGUUUUAAUUGUAAUCGACUAGACACUUUUGAAUGUUGUAUAUAUUUGGGAAUUGAUGUAUCUUUUGGAUCCUGAUGUAGGAAUUGGGUAACUGAUGUAUUUUGAACUCGUGGUGCAAGACUUGGAUAUUCGAUUAUAGAAGCGACUUUUCCUUAUUAGACUAGUAUAAAUUGUUAUAUAUUGUUAAGUUUGAAUCGAUUUGUCUCGAGUCAUGGCGAGAGCUGGGCAGGCGUUCCCCGGAUACCCUUGGAUUCGCCCUUGGGAGAAGUGGGGGCGUCACACAUAUUCUUUUGGAUUGUAUUUAACCUUGAAAAUUGAGGUAAUUUUGAUAACUUGUGAUGUAAGAUUUGAAAGUUUAUUUAAGGGAGAGAUUUUUCUUAAUUUGAAUUUUAUUAUAGGUUGUGUACUUUUGUCACGCCCCGAGCCCGCACGUGCCCGUCACAUGACACCCGCCGUACUC